GCCAGACCCGCCAGCACGCUCGCCUGAUCAACCUGCUGGGUGUCAAGCAGCUGAUUGUGGGUGUGAACAAGAUGGACUCCGACACUGCCGGCUACAAGAAGGAGCGCUACGAUGAGAUUGCCAACGAGAUGCGCCACAUGCUGGUGCGCGUGGGCUGGAAGGACGACUUCGUCAACAAGUCGGUGCCCAUCCUGCCCAUCUCCGGCUGGCUGGGUGACAACCUGAUCACCAAGGUGAGGAGCUCGGAAAACGGCCUGCGUAUGCGUAUGGGGUAGCAGCUGGGGAUCCUUCAAUGUAGGCAGUAAACGGGACGGAAAUGGCUGGUUGCUGAUGCUGCUUUGCGCGGGGCUGUCAAAGAAGGCUACGACAGUCCGUUUAGACUUGCCCUUCCGGCACCUGACGUGAUGCUGACCGUUUCGUGCCCCUCUCCUUUCCCUCCCUGCAGUCCACCAACAUGACCUGGUACUCCGGCCAGGAGGUGGUCAACCUGAAGGGCGAGAAGAUCCAGGUGCACACCCUGCUGGACGCCCUGAACAGCUUCGUGGUCGUGCCCGAGCGCAAGACCGACGCUCCCCUGCGUCUGCCCAUCUCCGGCGCCUACAAGAUCAAGGGUGUCGGUGAUGUGCUGGCCGGCCGCGUCGAGCAGGGCGUGGUCAAGCCCGGUGAUGAGGUGAUCUUCCUGCCCACCCACACCACCGCCAACCCCUGCACCGGCAAGGUGUUCACCGUGGAGAUGCACCACAAGCGUGUGGACAAGGCCGGCCCCGGCGACAACGUCGGCAUGAACAUCAAGGGUCUGGACAAGGGCAACAUGCCCCGCACCGGUGACGUGAUGAUCCUGAAGUCGGACCAGACCCUGAAGAUUGUCAAGGACUUCACCGCCCAGAUUCAGACCCUGGACAUCCCCGGUGAGGUCAAGAAGGGCUACUCGCCCAUCGGCUUCGUGCGCUGCGGCCGCUCCGCCUGCCGCAUCAGCGGCAUCAACUGGAAGGUCGGCAAGGAGACCGGCGGCAAGAAGAUGGAGAACCCCGUCGGCCUGAAGGCUAACGAGAUGGCUGAGGUCGUCUACGAGCCCACCCAGCCCCUGAUCGUGGACUCCUUCAAGAACUGCGAGGGCCUGUCCCGCAUUGCCUUCCUGGACGGCAACACCGCCGUCAUGCUCGGCAAGGUGGUGUCCGUCACCCACAAGUAAAUGGACGGCUAGCAGUGGCUGCGGCAGAGGCGGCCUGAGCUAGGCACCUUGGCGGGGCGGGCGGCGGACACGCUAAUGCAUUAUGCGCGCGCGGCGUGGACGCGGCUGGUCACGAUCGGGGUGCUACCCACGGCAAUGGCUGCUGCGGUGGAGCAGGAUGCUUGAGAGCAAGCACAGGUUGGGGUGGUACAGGGUCGCUUGGAAGCGGUGUCGGAGUGAGUGCUGCGCGGGGUGUCUGACGGUUUGACUUCUCAGGCCUUGCAUGCAAAAGACGCGGAAUGACUUGAGAGUGGCGUACGUCCAGACGUGGACGGUGUUAGCUAAGUAGCGACUGGUAGGACGGAUUUCGGAAGAAGCCAACUGACGGAGUGGUCCCUACAUGUAUUUGGGUGCCCUGAGCGGAUUCGGGAAACAACCUCGUGUCGCUGAAGCAUGAAACACUGUAACGGUGCGUGAGGCGAAAUCGUAAUGGAGGUCGAAGCCGACUGGGUUCGGGAAAAGCACUAACACGGGGAAAUAGCCUGGCAGCGUAUUGCGAAUGGGGAUGAUACCAGGGGAGAGAAAUACGAGGUUUGGGCGCGGGUAAACGCAGCCGAAGACCUGGUGGGCCAGUCGGGACCGGGGCGUCUGGGACCAGUCAGGACGAGCCGUUAGAUGCACCAGUGCAAGGGUUUCUGACGGGCUUGUUUCGUAGUGUUGAGCCAAUGUACAUGCACGGUUGUAUCACCACCGUGGCCUUGCACAAUACCGUGCCAUUAAUGCAUUCCAGCUCAGUAAGCUAGCUGACGCACCCGCACCGCAGACCCGCUACUAUGCACAGCUGGUCAGCUACCACGGGCGGGUAACCACCAGCUGCUCAUACCCGUGUCAGCUCCCGCAGCUGCGCAGUACUCGCCUGAUCUGCGCGUUUACUCGUAUCCGACGCAGCCACGCCCCGGUCUGAAGCCGUUGAGUGCCGUCCCACUCCCACUCCGCUCCGCUUCAAUUUGCCUCAACCCACAAGUAUCCGCCACUCCAGCCCACAUGACCACACGUCUCAUAUGUCCACGAUCACAAACACCUCUGCGUCGCCCUCCUGUUCCGAAAUAGACAUGGCGCUGUAGGUGAUGGCCUUGAUCUCCGUGCCCACCUCGUGCAGCGAGCGGUCGAAGCGCUCGCCGUGCCUGUGUGCGUGUGUGUGUGGCCCGGGUGUUUGGAGUUGGCGAGGUUGGGAACACGUGGGCGGCGGGAUGGAGCACAGGUACUGGGCUUCCUCGACACCGCUGCGUGGAUGCUCCCCCAGCUAGCAAGGGGCCCCUCCUUUCCCCUUGACGACCUUCCCCACGCCGGCCUACCUAGGGGCCCCUCACACCGUCCCUCCCCUCACUAGCACCCGUGCCCUCCCCUCCGCCGCCCCAGUGCCCCACCCGGCCCCGCCCCUGCCUUCCACUGCCCGGCCCCGCCCCCACGCCCACCCCGUCACGCACCCCUCUGCCUCAAUGACGAAAGCCUCCCGAUCGAAUUUGGUGAUCCGCACCCGGCCCGCCAGGAACAGCUCUGUGUUGAACUCGAACAGCAGCUCGUCCAGAAAGGCGAACAGCAGCGAGGGCAGGUCGUGCCCUUCGGCGCGGUACGCCCUGGGUGCCCGUGUGUGUUGUGGGUGGCAAAGGGGGGCGAGGGGUUUAGAGGGGCGCUGCGCGAGGCUGCCAGGUGCUGCCCGCACUUGAUCCUGUGCACCGUGCGCCUUCACCCAACUUGCAGCCCCCUCACCCACCACUCCGAACCCCCCACCUCCCCGGCCGCUCAUUCGGUAACGCCUUCGUCUGCAGUCCGCAGUGCUUCCUGUACCGCUUUUCCAACCAUAUGUGCAACCCCUCACCUCCCCGCUCCCCUCUCUUCCUCCCCCCAAUCUGCCCCGCCCCACCCACCACUGUCGCCACGCCAUGCCAACCGCAACACCCGCCCCCCACCUUGUCUCCCGCAGCCGCACGUGCUCCAGCGGGGACAUGUAGUUGAACAUCGCCAGGCCGCACUGUUCGAACGCCUCGCCCAGGUCGGAGCCCCCUACAGAUGCCGAGCGGGGAGGGGUGGGGCGCGUUCAGCAGCACACGGGGCAGUGAGCUCAAAGGCUGCUCGCUCUGGCCUACGGUAGCACCGUGAGAGCAAGUGCCGUUGCCCAAACACACUAGCCCUUGGCCCGUGUAACCCGGUGCAGGGGCGUGACUCACAUGCGUGCAACUGCACGUCCGCUGUAUGGUCCAAAUCUGCAUGGCAAGGAUCCAAAUGCUUGUAAGGUCAGCAGGGGAGUGCCAAAUCGGUUGCCUGCAUUACCCUUGCGCUUCGAUAUCCCGCACGGUUUGGCCAGUGCCUAACAGGCCCAGUGGCCCUGGUCCUGUACCCCCCCGCCCAUGUUCGCCGAACCCCUUCCGCCCCUACCGAGGACGUCCCAAGAAACGAAACCAUGUGUCUUGGCUUUCGCUGUCACUUCAAGUAGCCGUUUUCCGCCUACUGUGCAAGGUGUGCCGCUUCUACCCAUCAGGUUGUCGGUUCCCCAAUCCCUACCUCGCCUAACCCACCCCGAAUUCCUGGCUCGCCACAAGCUGGGGAUAGCAAGCGGCUACAUCCUAUCUCCUGACAACCCGCAGCACUCACAUUCGAACUUGUAGUCACCGACCGCCGCCGAUCGGUACUCCGGCAGGGGCUCCAACGUCGUGACGGCUCCCACCUCCACACAAACCCCGGAUACCCCUGAGUCCUUUCCUAACCCUGGAUCUGACUUUGUGUCACGGCUAGCAGAUCUUGAUUCGGGCCUUCUUGGGGUCCCGGCGGGGGCAGCUUUGCUGCGGCCUUCCCCCAGGCCAGCCCCGUGCUCCUCACGUCCUUGCCGCCCAGACGCCGACGGUGCCUGCGCCGCGCCGUCCUCAAUCCCUGAAGCAGCCUCUGUGCCUUGCUGUACUUGGUGUUGCUGCUCUCUCCGUCGCUGGCGCGAGUUGAGGCGCUGCGGUAGGGCGUCCUCUUCGCCACCCAUGGGACGCCAGGCCUGACGCCGGGCCCCGCCUUUUGCCUCGGUGCACGUUCAAGCCCGUGCAGCCGUUCCCAGUAUGUAGGGUGCCUUGAUGGAUGUCCCUUUUGUUGACAGUGCACUCCGUAACCAGUUUAAGCAGUUAGCACUGAGUUUCCUACCUGGCUGUGCGAUGUGCGGAAGUAAGUUCUCUCGUCUACAAGAAGAGCGUGUUCUGUAUUUCGGUAGUCUUUCAGAAGUAUUGUGGCUGUGCAAGAUUACUUUGUUGACGCCCUCGUGACAGCAAAAGGUGGGCCAGCUUCGGUGCCCUAACUGUGCUUACGCCCGCGAUUGCACGCCACCUUCACCAACCCCUCUUCUCAUGAGGAGCUACGCGUCGUAUUUAGACUUUGUAUGUACAUAAGUCGACAGCGUCUGCUAUACUAAUCAGCGCGUUGCCUGAAACAGAUAGCGACAACUUCACUUCAUACCUUUGCGCUCGUUUAACCGAAGGAACUUUCAAGCACUAGCUUAAGCCUGUUGAAUAACUAUUCACUAGACAACAUUUGCCACACAUAGCUUCAACCAGCGGACGCAGCAGGAUGACCAUCGCACAGAAAUUGCCAGCGCUUUCGGCAGUCGCAAACGCGGUAUUGAAAUCGCCUGAGGGAGCGGAGGUGGUUGCCAAGACGCUUUGGGCGUCGCAGCCAGUCGCUGUGCUGGUGCUCCGACGACCAGGCUGCGGUGGGUGGUUGCGGUGGCGCGUGGCGUGUGCGGGUGUGAGCUCGUCUGCGGCGUUGGGGUUACGCCAGUCCCGGCUCCCGGCUCCCGGCCGCCACGCUGCGCCUGGGCCAGCCAUAUGAGGACGUAGGCUUGUUGUUGCACGGGGCAGCACUUUGCAGUCUUUGGCGGGUCAACGGGAAAACCAGGGAAGUCGCACAGGCGCGAGGGGUUAGCAGGGCAAGGCGGCACCUGGUUGCCAGCUGCGCGCGGCAGCUCCGCUUAUCACACAUCAAACUCCUCAAACUCUUCUAGACUGCAUAUGACUUGGCUGUCUGGCUGCCGACAACGGAGCAGCUCCCACUCCGGUCCUCCUCCCUCUUCCUCCGCCCUUGCCCGCCUAAUCCCAUCCCACCUGCUGACCCCACGCCCCCUCCCCCGCAGUGCUAUGUCGCGACGAGGCCCAAAGGCUGUGGGCGCUCAAGCCCGAGUUCGACAAGCUCGGCGUGGGCCUGGUGUGCGUGGUGCACGAAUGGAUCCAGCGCGAGGUGAGUCUCGGCCCUGUGUUAGCGAGGUGGCUAGUGGCGGUGAUGCGUUGUGCCCGCGCGUGGCUAGCUAGUGGGCGUGUCCGGUGGUGGCUGGCGUUGGGUGCCUGGGCUCAGCGGCAAGCCCUCGCUGCAAGCACACAUGCGGUACAAUUUGGGUUCCAUGCCUGUGACCGCUGCCUGUGGUUAUCCCGUGACGCGUGUCUUCCAGCCCUCUGCCCUCUCGCCCUGCUCACCCGCCCUCCCAACCCGCCCUCUUCAUCCGCCUCCCUCCAAACCACAGAUUGACGCCUUCGCCCCCGCCUUCUGGCCCGGCCCGCUCUUCCACGACACCUCCAAGUCCUUCUACGCAGCCCUCAACGGCGGCACGCCGCUCCGCGGCAGCCUGCUGCCCAUGGCCAACCCCUUCGGCGCCGUGUGGGCGCGCAUCCGCGCCGCCAGCCGCAACGUCAAGGAGCACAACGUCGUAGGCGACGGCCUGACGAUGGGCGGGCUGCUGAUGAUGCGCGCGGGCGAGGGCGGCCCGGCGUGGCUGCACCUGGAGACGGAGAUUGGGCUGGUGGCGGAGCCGGAGGUGGUGCUGGGCGCGGCCCAGCGCAUGAUGGCGGCGUAGGAGGCCGCUGGAGCGGUGCAGGAUGGGAGGGUUAGGUGUGGGAGUGCGACUGAGUGAGAGCGAGAGUGGGGUGUGAGGAGUGGUGCGAGCGGAGUUGUUGAGCGUGUGCGUUCGAAGGUUUGCGGGCGUAACACUUCCUGCAGGAGUUGACAGGUGCUGUCCACAGCUUAUGUGCAGGCUUAUUUUGGUUGCGUUGCAUGUAUUAAAUGACGUGUCGUUUGCAAUUGUGACACUAUGUUGACCAAGACCAUGCGACGUGCCAUGCGGUGACUGACAGUGGCUGAUCGUGGUUGACAAACUGCUGAGUACAGGUUUUGCCAUUUUGUAAGUUUGACACCGCGUUGACGUUGUUACAAGGAGCGGGUCAGUGCACGCCAUUCUUUGCACGCAUUGUUCUGGAAAGCGACGUUGAGAUUAACGGACUGUGCGGAUCGUUACCGUGUUCGGCGUCGGGCCACCAUUCGUGCACGUGGUACAUAGAAUUUGUGGGUGGCCGCCGCGCGCCAUACCUGAGCAAGCACGUGCCCGUGCCAAACACAUUGUAACUCAAUCGGAACUUUGAUACCACACCAAGCCGUACGUCACGAACCCAAUCGCCGUUCCACUUGAGCAGUCCUCAUGGGUGUAUCAGCCUUUCCACUUCUACCCAGCAGACAGCCUUGAAACGCACCCGUCCGUCUUGGGAUCCAGUCCGUCCUAGUACCUAGCGCGCCCUGUGCCCACGGCGCACAGCUAUUCAGUAUCUGCGCUGCCACCAUCGUGGCCGUUUGCAGCCGCGCCCGCCGUGCCGGCCGAACCAGAGGAGGCGAGGAUGCUGUUGAGGAUGCGGGUGGUGCGCGCGGAGAAGCGGCGCAGGCGGCCCUGCUCGUCCCGGCCCCAGGAGCCGGUGGCGCUGCGGCCUGCAGGUGGGGCAUGUGGGGUAGUCAGACUGCCAGAGCCAGGUAGGAUGAACGUGCGUGCAACCUGCAUUUUGGCACCACGCUCAGUGCCGACCAAGCAUGGGAAUCAUGAUAGCAUCAUGCUGGCGGGACUUACAUCUCAACCCAGUUUUACCCUAGUCGCCGCACCCCAGCGUCAGAUGGCAGGGCAAAAGGCAGCGCAAUCACCCCGGCUUGAGGCGCACACGACCCUCGCACCUGCGGCAAGCAGCUUCAGGACGCUGGGCGACAGCUGCGCCAGGGUCGAGGCAAAGCCGCCGCUGCCGCCACCCCCACUGCCGCUGCCAGCCGCCGCCAGCUCCGCCAGAAAGGCUGCGCCCUCGCUUUCCUCGCUCGCCGCGAUCGCGCCGCCCUCGCCGCCGCCUGCCGCACCACCCAUGUGAUGCCGCCACCUCAGCAGGCUGUCGGUGCCGCCUCCGCCGCCACCCCCAUCGCCGCCCUCCCCACCACGGGCCUCCCCCGAUCCCUCCAGCAUACCGCCCGCCGCCGCCACUGCCGUAGCGCCGCCAGCGCCGCCGCCACUGCCAUACUCGUACCCGCCUCGGCCCUCCUCAGCAAUGGGGCUGCCUGCGGGCGCGUAGCGUCCGGGUGCGCCGAGCCGCCGUGCGCGACGCAGCGGCGUGCUCAGCAAGUUGCCCAGUCCUGACGCUGUGCGCUGCAACAGGCCGCCUGUGCCCCCCUCGCGCCCAGGGCUGCCGCUGCCGUCAGCGCCGCCGUGCGUGCCGCCUCCUGAGGAAUACGAUGGUGCUUGCAGGUGCUGCGGGUGCUGUGUGCCGAGCGCCUCCUCGCCGUACCCGUGGUACGCUCCCACACCAUGCCGCUCCUCCGCACCUGCCGGGACGUCUGCGCCGGGCCCCAGGAGAUCUUGUGCCUCCACAGCGGCGCGUGCGUUGCUGCGCCCGCGGCCGCUGGCCGCUGCUACAGUCGCUGCCACAGCGGCUGCAGCAAGGGCCCCGGACACGGCACCACACACCAGGCUGCGCCAGCACCAGCCGCCCCCUGGCAUGGUGACACCUGCCGCGGCGGCCGAGGCACCUGCUGCUGCCGCUGUCAGCGCUUCUCCUGGGGAAAGGCUGUCUUCGCUGCUGCGCUCAUCACCCGCCCGCAACACGUGCGCUGCUGGCUCACCGUCACGAGCUGCGCUGGCGCCGGAACGCUGCCCCUGCCGGUGCCCCUGCCGUGGCGGCAGCAGGCGCCCUUUGCCGUCACUCCCCAUACUGCCGCUACUGCCGCUGCCACCGGAUGACACAGCAGCGCCGCGGCCACCAAUGACGUCUUGCGGGCUCAUUAUGAUGAGUGCAGGGCACUGGCUCAGUGGGUCGAGGGCAGACGUGUCGGGCCUGCCGCUACUACCGCUACUGCCGCUACUGCCGGUGAUGGCGGCCAGGUGCAGAGGCGGGCAGGAGUGCCCAGGCCCGCGCCGCGCUGUUGCCGCGUACCCGCCGCCGCCAGCUGCAGACUGCUGUCCAUCGAGGUGCUCGCCAGCGUGCAGGUGAGCCCAGUGGUGGCACGCCGCAGCCACACACUGCGCCUGCACAGCAGCUGCCGCGGCGGCGGUGUGUGUCUGCUGGUGCUGUGGUGUCAAGUGGCGCACUGCCGCCACGCCGCCGUCCCUUCCACCCUCUCCAGCAUUCACAGGGAUGCGGCGAUCUCCCGGCGACGUGGCAGCGUGCCAGCGUGGGGCCGCCAGGCCAGGCGGCGGCCACGCAUGCCCUGGCGCCGUCGUAUGCGGCUCUGCCACAGCGUUGUGUCCUGGUGCUACAGCCGCUGCUGUUUGCAGCUGCUGCCUGGCCGCCGCCAGCUGCUGCGGCUGCGGGUCUGCGGAAGGCGGCGGCGGCGGCGGGCCCAGUACCGCCGCCAGGUGGGGAGCAGCGGCGUCCAGGGUGAGGCGGACCUCAAGCCCACCUGUGUGCGUGCACGAGUGCGCGUGCAGGGUUAUCAUUGCAGUAGCAUAUGUGCAUAGGACACACACACACACACACACACACACACACACACACACACACACAGUCACACACCGGCAACACCACCACAUGAGGGGCACGACCUCCCCUGCGAGCCCCAGUGCCUGGCGACCCGCCCAGACCCACGUGCCCCAAGCUCCACGGCCCCACCUGCUGUGUCGCCAGAGGCAACGAAGGCGGCCGUGCGGCCUGCCGUCCCGGGCAGCGCCUGCAGCUCCAGCACCAGCAGCACCUGGAGCCCGCCUGCCUCCUUCCCCAGUCCCUGCUCCUGCUGCUGCAACUGCUGCUGCUGAUGUCCCGUAGUGAUGCGCUCUGCGGGUGCGCAGCAACCAGGCAACACCUUCACGUUUCUCCCGGCCCUUAACAAAUCGGCCCGGCUAGAUCGGUAGAUCGGCCAGUACCCUAGUACACACGCCGCCCUUACCGACCCCCCCUCUCACGGGCUAGUGGGAGCAGGAAGGUGUACGGCAGGCGCGCUGUCAGGGGCUGUGAGGCCCCGGCGGCGGCCUCAGCCGCGGCGCUCCGCAGUGCUGCCGCCAUGGCAGCUGGGGGGAUGGCCUCCCAGGCCUGCAGCGCAGGGGUUGUGCGGGGUGUGAAGCGUGCAGGGCAGCAGAGCCGGCACCAGCAGCUGUCAGGUGCACGGGCACGCGCACGCCCACGCCUGCAAUCCUCCUUUGCAUGCAAAGCACACGGCACCGUGUCCUCGCAUCACCCGUACAUCUGCUGCUGUAGCCCCGGUGUCGCGGUGUGUAACUCCCCACCCACCCAGUCACCCAAGCUUUGCGGCUUCCAAGGUGCGUGUCAAACCGGGCGCACCAACCCACCUGUGCCACCACCUGGCCGCCCCGCCGCACGGUGGCGACCAGCUGGCUGCUGGAGCUGCUGCUGCCACCUCCACUGCCACCGCCGCCCCCAGCAGUCGUCACAGCAGCAGAUGCCGCCAGCACCGAUAGCGCCUGCUCCCAAACGCCAUUGCCACGGUCUCGCGGCUCGACCACCUGGUCAGCAGGCUGAGGCGCCAGGGAAGCGGCAAGCUGCGCGGACGAAGCCUCCGCCGGGUUGGGGGUGGGCGGGAGGGGCGCUGCUUCACCACCCGGCACCAAUGGUCCUCCCUCCGCAGCCGACUGAGCAGCCCCAGCUUUUGCGAUUGUGGCACUGUGGGCUGUGUGCUGCUGCGUCGCUCUCGGCGGCACAAACAACGCGGCGCCCAAGAGCACCUCCCUGAGGGGCCAGCAGGGAGCAACGAGCGGCGCAUUGUUGUGGUCUGUCCAAAGGCUUGCAGCGCAGCGACAAGCACGUCAUCACCCAAGGCGUAGAAAGCUCACCCGUGCAGCAGCAAGUGGGUGUUGGCUUCGAAGAGCGCCGCGGAGCCACUGCCGCUCGCGCCAGGCAAACGCUGCUGCGAUGCUCUGCCGCCUUCAUACUCGCUGCUGCUACUCAACAGGCUUGCGUCCUGAGAGACAGCCGGGUCCGCAAGCAGCAGCAGGGUGGCGAGAGCAAAAAGCGCGGGAACAUGUUGUGGGGCCUCCAGCUUGCGCAUGUUGGCCUCCACAGCCUUUUAAUGAGUUGCGUAUGUACAGUAGCUGUGAUUACAACAGUAUGGCUAGUUCUAAUUCGCAGCUUGGCAAUCACGCCAGGCUCCGACGACCUCGCCCUUCUCCGUGACCCCUCCGCCUGCUGCCACCACCCGCCGCCUCGGGGGUGGCCUCGCUUCCCUUCCCUUCCCGCUCGCACACAGGUGCAUGCAACGAGGGUGCGCAUUGCCGUACACGGUGACGCCUGCGUCCUUGCAAGGGCCUCUUCCCUGGUUGCCAUGGCAGGGGCCGAACCCGCGUUCAUUGUGCACGUGUGCCGAUGCUUGCAUGCGGUCCGCCCGACCUGGCCUGGCCUGGCCCGCCGCCUACACACGCGCUCCAUACUACCAGUAUCCUCCAUAUCGCCUGUGCUGCGUGUGCCUACGUGGAAUACACUGCACACGACGGGACCACGUCAACCUGCCCAUUACCCUAUCCCAUCGCACCAACUCCUUAUCCAUGCGUUCGCCACCCGUGCGCCACCACCGCCAUGCCAAAUGCUUCCUACCGCUUGCGGCUGCAGCUGCUGCCGCACGGGGGGCGGGCCGGGGCUCCUGCAGACACCUGCCUGCAAUGGGGCAGCGGGCAUCAGGCAUCAGGUGCAGUCGGGCGUCGGCGUGCUAGAUUUUGCACCGUCAAGCCUCAUGGCACCCAUCCCCACCUGCUGCUCCUGAGUGCGGGUCCGGGCGCGCCUGUGAGGCGAGGUGCGUGUGUCGCGCAAUGUCGCGCAAUGUCGGUGCAACCUGUGGGCACAGGCCAGAGCGCGGCCACAUGGGGCCAGAGUGGGAGUUAGUGGGAGUAAGGUCGAUAGGCCAGUUGCUAGCAGCCUUGGCACCCAUCGCCGUUUGCAUGGCACACCGAGACAUAUGCCGUUGAUCCGCGCGCCCCCCAGGGCUGCAUGCCACACAUGCUACCGUCCCGUACGGAGCGCGGCAUACCUGCGGCGUGCCUGCGGCAUGUAGCUAUUACUCCGGAAAGCCCGCACGUGGUUAGAAGCCUGGUGAGUCCCACACGUGGGUCUCUGGCCCGGGCAGCAGGGCGGGUGGCUGGCAGGAUCGGGGCGCGUGGCCGCGAGGCCGCCCCCCCCACCCUUCCCCACAGCCAGUCGUCCAGCGGCUGCGGCAACCCGGCACCAGCGAGCAGGUCAACACUCCCACGCGCUCCCACAUGCACCUCUACCCCCUCAACGACCUGUCCCAGCCCGUUGAGUGUGGGCUCCCCUCCCCUUCCCUCCGUUCCUUGCGUCCUGUCGCAUCACUGACACGUCUGGCCUCUCCCAGCCUCUCCCUACCAAGCUCCCCAAUAAAACGCAGUCAACCACACAUGUCGUUUCCCUUCACCACUUCCUGUUUUUCCUCCUAUGUUUUGCAUAAAGAUGCCCUGCCCCCUGAUCCCCUCACGCCGCCUCGUACAGCUUGCGCACGUGGUCCAGCCCCGCGCCCAGCCCGGACACCGGGCAGCGGCCGUGUGCCAGCACGUGCGCGAAGGCGCAGGGGUAGCAGAACACGUAGCCGCUGGUGGCCAGCGUGGCGGGGUUGGUGGUGCGCUUCCUGUCAGGUGGGCGAGUGUGCGCGUUGUGUGGCGUGUGGUGCGGCGGGUUGCGGCGUGUUGUGGUCGGACACAGGAGCGGUUGUGCGUUCAGAAUGCGUGGAGGUUCACUGCAACAACAUACCCGACACGCCACGAUGCCGCAACAUGCAAGUCGCAUCAUCGUCAUAAGCAACUACAUGCGUGCUUUCUUUUAUCCUGCUGCGCAUGCGCGCACCUGCAAAUUGGGCAGUCGGAGGGGUCGGCUGGCAGUCCCACACCCAGAGGCGGCGGCAGCGGGCGCGGCGGCGGCGGCGGGGGCGGCAGUGGCAGCACCUUGCCCUUGGCCAGCGUGUCCUCAGCCGCCGUGUACCACCACUCCAGCGCCUGAGGGAGAAUGAAAGCAUGGGGAGGUUGAUGGGAAUGAUGGGAGAGUGAUGGGGAUAAUGGGAAGUGAUGUGGGAUUCACGAGACAGCUUGAGAGACAGGCCCCCUCCGCGCUUGAGCAAGGGGGUGCACGUGUAGGCGCGUGAAGGGUGCUGCAGGCGCAUCGGUGCGCUCAAGCCUGCCGCCUGCGCCCAACGCCCCUACCCCUCCGCACUCGCCCCUGCCCACACCCAACACAGCCAAGCCGCCGCCGCCACCGCCACCGCCGCCGCCUGUGCCGCACCUUGAACCCGAACACCGCCAGUAUGAGUGCGCUGCGGGCGUGGUCCUCCAGCAGCCACCUGGCGCCCAGCACACACCGCACCAGCCCCCCGCGCGCCCGGGCCAGCAGCGCCGCCGCCCGCCGACCCGCCGGGCCGCCAGUGCCACUGCCGGAUGCAGGGGCCGCUGUGGCCGCCCCGCUGAGUAGAGACGUCAGCAGCGCCUGCCGCCGCGCCUGUUUGGCCUUUUCCACGUCCAUCUGCAAAACAGCGCACGGGGGCACGGGAGGAAGUGCACAUCAGGUGGCCCCGCUUGUUUAUACUUCGCCGCAAACGGCGGAGCCACGAAUGGACGAAUGCCCACCCAGACAGGCCCCAGCACCCGCCAAUGCGCCCCACGGCCCCCGCAGCCCUCCCCCUGGUGUGGUUGUGUUCACGCACCAGGUCCUUGGCGGAGGUCCGCGCCAUGGUCACGCCCAGAGCCUGGCGGCAGCGCGUGGGGCGGCACAGCGCAGCGCAGGGGCCGCGGCGUGGGGAGCGGGAGGUCAGCUGGGUCCCGGGAGCACUGGGAGCAGGGGGUGGGAAACACACAGCGGCAAGCGCGCGGUCCUCCCGCUCGUUCGCUUACGCCCAUCACGCCCGUCGUCUUGUGAAUCAAUCACAUUACAUGGCCACAUACCCCACCCCUCCUCCUCGCUCUCGUGCAUUGGGUUCGUUUCAGGGUUUGGCUGGUAAAUACACCCCGCCCCCCCAAAAACACACACGCGCACACAGCGCCUACACGCUCGCUCGCUCACAUGCAGCACGGGCUGGUGCGCGGGGCUGGCACCCAGCAGGUAGGCCAGGUGGUAGGCGAAUGUGGUGCCCUGCGUGCACACACACACACACACACACACACACACACACACACACACACACACACACACACACACACACACACACACACACACACACACACAUACACACACACACACAGACACACACGCGCAUUGACACAUACAGGCAGGGCAGGGCGGUGGCGGACAUAUGGUGACGAUAGCGUGUGCGUGCGGGGGGUAGGGACGUGCAGGGGCGCGCGGACGGGCGCAAACGGUGUGGUGGCGGCGGAGGUGAUGCCGCCGUGAGCCGCGACGCCCGCAUUGCACAUGUGUGGAGUCUGGGGAUGACGGACACCAGUGGCCCCAAACACCCGGGCCAAGCGCCACACGGAAUACGGUACUUACGUGUGUGCGGGUUUGCCAACCCACCAAACGCAUCCCCCAGCUGUGCUUCCCAGCACCCGACCCACCUCGAUGCCUGCAUGGAUCCAAGGGUACGACGCCACGAACGCCCGCUGCAGCCGCCGGCUCCAGCUCCCAUCCUCCUGGCCGACGCCGCUGUUGCCACCGUCGUCUGCCUCCGCCACAGAGCCCUGCGCAGCAGCAGCACGCGGCAGGCCCCGCACAGGGCGGGGGCUUUUGGGACACGCGUACUGUAGAGUGGCUGUGCGCCGCACCCGGUGCGGUGCCCCAGGAAGGCAGCUUGGGGCUUGGGGCACGCACUCAAAAGGGUCACCUAAGCACUUGUCCAACCUGUCUUGGCGUUUCCCCUGGGUUCCGGGCCUGUCGCCCCGCAUCCCGCCCCUGGCGCAACGCCGCUACCGCCGGCCGGUGCCCAGCGCGCGUCACUCGUGGGCCUGGCGCGAGCAGCCGCGCCCGCCUCCCCCCCCCCGCUGGCCCACCUGUGCCGCGCUGUAGCGCAGGGCCAGCCCCAGCACCCCCGAACCCGGCGAGGUGGCUGCGUAGUGGCGGUACACCUUCUCCGUCUUGGCGCGGAGGUAGGGCAGCAGCACUUGGCAGGCCAGCAUGAGCCAUCGCUGCCGCCGCGACAGCCGGUCUGAGGCGCCGGGGCGCAGCGGUUUCCGCUUCAGCCCGUAAAGGCUGUCCGAGAAGGUGCUGUCGGUGCUGAAGAGGCUGUGUCCGUCCAGCGCGAGCGUGAGCAGCGCGAAAACCUCGUCAUCGUAGUUGAGCAGGCGGUGCACCCAGGGUUGCCGCUGCGAGAACACCUGUGUUUGGACAGACGUUUGAUGCUCAAUCGCUGACGUAGUAAACUAGCUUGGCGUGAUUGCAGCUCACCGACAGCGCGUAAAUGACUGCUGCUUUCAGGCUGGGCACCAAGCGGUCUGCAGCUACCACCUCAAAGUAGGUGGGCUUGGAGCUCUCGUCACCCCCGAGGUUUACAAACAUGGCGAACAGCGAGUUGUCCGCCUAAGUUAAACCUCUCGGGUUUUGGUCAGCGGUCGGUAAGGCAAGCCUUCCGGGGUGUCGUGGUCAUGGCUGAUAUGUAAAUUUCUAGCCUUUGCACGGCACGACAAAGAUAAAUGACGAGGGGAAACCGUGCCGGCCUCAUCCGGGCACGUCAGCGGCUGUCGGUCGGUUGCCCGCUCCAACGCUGGAGCUAACCCCGCAUGAAGACCACAGGGCAAGGAGAAACUACGCAAGGCUCAAACUAAGGUGGGGUUGGGGAAACAGGCAGGGGUGAACCGGCCACGUCGCGUGCGGGUUUGGUGAUCGGGACCAUCGGGACCAUCGGUUUCUCGCUGUGCCUCCGCUUCCACAUAUAACAACAAUCACAUAGCCCACUGUAUACACUCCAAUUGUCACUGCCCACACGCGGGCCGAGUGAGCGCAGGGCCACAGUUUUCAGAGCUCCCCUGCAUAUUCGCAGCACUUCUGCGAGUUUCUGGCGACCAAAAGCGCCUAGAGCGCUAAGCUCAAUAAGAAUGCAAGCCCUUUCGCCUAGCCCUUGCGUCUCAAUUGCGUCACGUCAAUUCGGUUGCAGCUAACUCCAGCUCUUCAACAAGGACAAGCCCCAGGCUUUGACCGGGAGUGAUAAGGCGACAUGGCUCAUCCAUUUGGGGGCCGCAAGCUCCUGGUCACGGUGCGCGGGCGCUGCGCGUGCGAGCGUAGGGCCAUAUGCGUUGCCCCCUUCCGACUGCCCUCUCCAACUGAAGCGCCAGCCAGAGCGCCGCUGCGUGACUGUCCGCAUCAAGCACACUGUACCUAGCCUGUCCCAGCACACAACAAUAUGACAUCAACGGAGCAACAUAACCGCAGGUGUGCAAGGCCGAGGUGGGAUGGGACCAGCCGGACUCGAACACGCUGGAGAGCGCGUCGGUUCGCCUGGUGGCGGGCCCUUUCAAGUGGGUCGGCUGGGGUUGACUUUGAACCAAUGCCUGGGGGCUGGGGGCGUGUGUUGGAGGGCACACUGAGAGGAAACACGCAUGACAGUUUGAAAUAUGCAAUGCGAUGCGGCCGUGUAUGUGUGUGUGUGUGUGUGGCCGUGUAUAUGGGCAUGAUACACGGCACAUGUACGGCACAUAUGUGUGUGGGAAGGAAGCACAAUCGAGGGUUUGCGUUUGGCACCGUGGCACUCAUACGGCCCAGGAUAUAGGGCGCUUGCAACCCCCUCUUGUUUUUUUGGGGGCUCUAGUGUUAUCUCACCCCUUAUUCCCCACAAUCCCCAGGUCCUCCACGCGCUCCGUGCCUGUGGCCCGCGGCUCCCGCGGCGCCUGCGGCCUGCUGAGCUGGGCUCCGGGUCUGGGCGCGGAGCUGUUCGUACUGACGGAGGACUGCGUGCUGCUGGCGGACAUGACCGUGAGUGCGUGUGUGUGUGUGGGGGGGGGGAGGCUGGAGGGGGCGCGGCUUGGAGGAGGGGCUGGAGCGGGAUGGGUUGUAAACAGGAUUGGAUGCCUUGGAGGGGUGCCUGGAGCGUGGGGCUUUGUGUCAUCAUUCCAUCAAUAAGAAGGAAGAGGGGCGAUCCAGGCAUCGCGGGAUAGGCAUGCACCUGAACUCAACGAGUAAGGGGCAGUGGCGGCGGCGGCCGCGGCCAGGACUUUCAUCUACCGUUGAUGAGACCAACUUGAGGCAGCUCGUGUGAAAGUGGUAUGCUGCGCUCCUUGUUCCCACACUACUUGGUCUCUUUGAUUAUGGCCAUCGGACCCACACGUACGCGCUCGCCGCAGAUCGGAGCGGAGCUGUGGGGGCGGCGCGGCGGCGGGCGCUGGAACUCCGAGUCCCUGUAUGCCCAGGUGUGUGUGCGCGUGUGUGUGUGUGUGUGUGUGUGCGCGUGGACAUAUACAUGGACCACAGAUCGCAAUCAAGGCGUUUGGGCGUUGGCAGGACGGAUACUGCGUCGUCCCAGCCUCCCUUGCAACCCACCUCCCCACAUCUUCCCACCAUCACCUCCUCCACCUCGUCCUCCUCCUGCUCCUCCACCUCCUCCUCCUCCUCCUCCUCCUCCUCCUCCUCCUCCUCCUCCUCCUCCUCCUCCUGCACACAGGCUGACAUAGUCCUGGACGCGGCGGGUCAGGCGCUACUGCUGUCCGGCCGCUGCCUGGACGUGCGCCUGCCGCUGCUGCCGCCCUCGGCAGCGGGCGGAGGCGGAGGAGGCGGCGGAGGAGGCGGAGGGGACAAGGGCGGCGGGGACAAGGCGGGAGGCGGCGGAGGCGGGCAGCAGUCGGGUCCGGUGCUGGGCAUGCUGGCUCUGAGCAUGAUCCUGCAGCCCGCAGAUGCGGAGGCGGGUGCGUACGGGGUGUGCCAGGGAGCGCAAGGGGGAAAGGGAAGUCUGUGUGUCUGGUUGACAGGUGGGUGAGUAGUCUGCAGAGCGGCAGGGAGCGGGAAGGGGCGUGUGUAAACCCUAGUAACACUCCGUGUUGCACGGACGGCUACCCCCCGCCACUCCCUCAAACCCCCUCCUUGCGGCUACACCCCUCCAUUCCCCCCAUCCCCCCCUUCAGAGUUGGUGCGGCAGCUGCCAGUGGAGGCUGCGCCGCGGCUGCUGCUGGACACGUGCCGCCUGCUGCCGGGCGCGGUGGUGCGCGGGGCGGCGGGGGCGGCGUACGUGGACCCGGCGGUGGUGUUCAUCCGGUGAGGGCAGGGAGGAGGGAGGAGGGAGGAGGGAGGAGGGAGGAGGGAGGAGGGAGGAGGGAGGAGGGAGGAGGGAGGAGGGAGGAGGGAGGAGGGAACUGGAAUGCGAGGCAGGAUGUGGGCUGUGGGGUGGGAGCAUGGGAUUGGGCCAGGGCCUGCUGGCACGUCCUGUUGGUGUGCACGCUGCUGCGGUCGCCGCCCCCCUUGUUCCCAGACAUUUCCCCAGUCGACCCUCUCCCGACCGCUGGUUCCGCAUUGCCCAACUGAUGCUGCUUUACAUUCGCAUCCCUCCCCGGAUUCCCGCCAUUCCUGCCACCCUGCCGACGCGAUGUCGUCGCUCCCGCUGCUCACGUUGUUGCUGUCGCUGCCACUGCCGCUGUCACUGUGUCGCUGUGACAGGAUCCGGCUGGCCUCCGCGACGGGGUUGGGCCGCCCGCACGCGCCCGGCCACCACCAGCAUCACACCUCCUCCCACCACACCUCCCACCAAGGCCACGGCCACCGGGCGGCGGGCGCGGGCGGCGACCUGGGCGCCCCCUCCCGCGGCUCCGGGCCCUGGCCGCACGGCGCGGCAACAUCCGGCGGCAGGUGCGUGCGUGUACCGGUGUGUGUGUGUGUGUGUUGUGUUGUGUUGUGUGCGCGCGUGUGUGUGUGUGUGUGUGUGUGUGUGUGUGGCGGCACGCGAUAUGGGUGCGUUGGGAAAGCAUACAUGCAUGGAGAGGAAGGGGCCACCCCAUGUGAGUGUGCGCCGCCGGGUUGUGGGCGCGCAUGUGCUGUGCGUCAACCUGAACUCCAUGACGAUGACGUAAUGUUCGCCACGCCCCUGCACCAACUGCCGCACCAACUGCCGCACCAACUGCCGGACCAACUGCCGCAUCAUCAUCACACCCCAACAGGAGCCGUGGUGGUCACGGCGGCGGCGGCGGCCAUGGCGGCGGCGGCGGCGGCAACCCGCUUCAGGACCUGGGCUCCAAACUUCAGGCCGCGGCGGACAAGACGUUCGGCCACGUGGGCGCCUUCAUCGCCAAGCUGAAGGACCAGCACCGCGGCAGCGGCGGCGGGGGCGCAGGAGCGGGUGCGGGAGGAGCAGCAGGAGGAGGCGACGGCAGGGCUAGCCAGUCCGUGGAGUCGUCAACACACAAGGGGCGGGCGGGGCCGGAGGGCGCCGGCGGCUCGGCGGCGGGCGUCGCGCUCCAGGACUUCACGUCAGUCGUGGCGGCGGCGGUUAACGCCGAGGCUGCCGGCGGCGGCGGCGGCGCCGCCACCGCCGGAGGCAUGCAGCGGCAGGGCAGCGGCGGCGACAGCCGUCUGCCGCCGCCGCCGCUGAUUCAGGCGGCGCCGCCGCCGCCUCAGUCGCUGGACGUGAUGGCGGCGGAGGCGGCUCUGGCGUUGAUGGAGGCCAACGGCUUUUCGGUUGUGGACAGCCGCCGCCUGUCCAACUACUUCUGGUGCAAGGUGGGGACCGGGAAGUAGGGCAACCGGACAUCAGGACGGCGGGGGCCGGAACGGAAGAGUGCUCCACUCCACUGCUGCCAAACCGCCGGCAACGGCUUGUAAUAUUAUGUUAUUAGUCACACUGGACAUGAACGGCCACGAUGACACUGACACGCCCCUUCAGGUGACGUACGAGAGCCAGGAGCACGUGAGCCGCCUGGUGCCUGUCAUGUCGGGCGGCACGGUGCGCUGGGACGAGAGCUUCGUGGUGGCGGCGCUGCGGCCGGUGCGGCCCGCGCCCCUGGAGAUAGAGCUGUACGGCAGCAACGACGCACGGUGCGGCUGUGGGGCGGGGGAGGGGCGGGGGCGUGUGUGUGUAUGUGUGUGUGUGUGUGUGUGUGUGUGUGUGUGUGUGUGUGUGUGUGUGUGUGUGUGUGUGUGUGUGUGUGUGUGUGUGACCACGGUUUCCACGGUUAUUCUGCCAGAUCACGUGAAUCGUGUAUCUGGUAUAACCAACGACAGGGCUCUCAAUCGAGGGCUGCCGUGACCUGGCGGUGUGUGUGUGUGUGUGUGUGUGUGUGUGUGUGUGUGUGUGUGUGUGUGUGUGUGUGUGUGUGUGUGUGUGUGUGUGUGUGUGUGUUAAAAAACGAAACGAAAGCCCGCCCAGACGACGCCAGAGUUACUUACCGAUACCUACCAAUUUACCGAGCGUCGCGUGGUUGCUGUCACCCAGGUAGUCAUACUUAACCGCGAUAAGCCUGUAACCCCACGGGCGACCAUUCGGCCUGACCCCGCGAUGCACCUGUAUGCGUCCAUGCUCCGCUCCCUGGGCGCGCUAAACAACGUUUACCCAGCACGCCUAAUUCCCAGAUUCCCGCCCGCUGGUCGUAGUCGAGCUCACCUAUAAGCAUGGGAAUGUGUGCGUGUGUGUAGACGCGUGUGUGUGGAUGCGUGUCUGUGUGUCUGUGUGUGUGCUCGAGACCUGCCUUACACCGCAUGCUCCCUGCAAACGCACUGGCGCCGCCCACGAAACGACACGAUACGAUACAACACGAAACUCGCAUCUCCAAGCCAACACACACGCCCCCGCCAACAUCCUCCGACCCCCUUCAUACCUAUGGUUAUGUACAACGAAUCGCAUAUGCAGCUGCAGUUCUCCUUGCGACUAUUUCCUUACGGGAUUGGUUCAACGUUUUCUCCCCCCUUCAUAUUGCUCGCAGCUCCCGCGGCCGCAUGGUGUGCCAGCUGUCCGUGCCGCUGUGUGACGUGAUGGAGCAGGUGGAGGCGCAGCACGCGGCGGCGGCGAGGCAGCGCGAGGCGGAGGCGGAGCGGGCGGCGGAGGCGGAGCGGCUGAGGAGAGACAUGGAGGCGGCGAUGGGGGCGGCGGCGCGGGAGGCGGCGCGGGAGGCGCAGCAGGCGGCGGGGGGCGGAGGGGCGGGAGCGGAUGGGGCGGAGGGGGCGGAGGCGGAGGCGUUUGCAGCGCGGCGGGCGUCGCACUCGAGCGCAGGUGUGCGGCGGUGGGGCAGUGGGGCAGUGGGGCAGUGGGGUAGUGGGGGCUUUCGCGGGAGCGGGCUAGCGGGGGCGGGUAUUGCAGCCUGGGGAUGCGAUUGGGGAAUGGGAUAGGGUUGGGGGAUGGGGGAUGGGGAAUGGAGACGUGCCAGUUUGCUGCGCAGGUCCAAGGGUUUCUGGGCUAGGACCAGAGAGCCACCACCAUGCCCUUGCAUGGCUUCCUGCCCAUGCUGAACCCACAAUCAUGUUUGUUUUAACUUGCCAGGCCCCCGCCGCUCGCUCUGGUCAUCCUUCACAACGACCGGCAGCGCCGCAGCCGCCACUGUGGCCUCUCGCUUCACCUCCCACCCGCUCUCCUUCUCCCAGUCCCGGCAUCCCCACCUCCACAACCACAACCACCCGCCACCGCCGCACAACCACCAACCACAACCAGCCGCCCAGAAACUACCCAACUACCAUCCCGACACGUGGCCGCGGGGGCGGUUGCGGCUGGCGGCGCGGCUGGGCGGUCAGCAGCAGGGCGGCGCCGCCGCCGCCAUCCACGGCUCCCCGGGCGGCGCCGCGGGCACCGGUGUCCGAGAGUGCGUGUUCCACAUGGACUUCGAGGUGAGCGGCAGCGGCUACGGAUGCUGCUCCUGAUCCUUCUCCUUCAGCUCCUGCGACUCUUGCUGCCCCUGUUCUUGCUCUUGCCGCUCCUCCGCAGCUGCGGCACCCGGCACGCAAGCCGUCUCGUCCCUACCACCUCAUCACGUCCUUCCUGCCUCGGCACUACCCCACUCACCACUCCCCGCAGGUCAUCGACGCCGACCCGCGCGCCGCCGCCAACAGCACCCAGCUCCUGCCAUGGGCGCCGCACCAAUACCACGUCCACACCCACCACCGGGCAGUCACAGCCGGAGCUGCCUCCGCCGCCGCAGAGGCGGCACGCGCCGCCGCCGCAGCCACAGCCGCCGCAGCGGCCGCCGCCGCAGGCGGCGGCGGCGGAUCCGCCACUGCCAGCCACAUGCCUGGAGCACACGCGCGGCACGGCUCGAACUCAGGCGCGGCGCCGGGCGGCGACUCCGGCGGUACCGUCACGCCUGAGGGCACGGUUGGCGGGGGCAGCGGCUUCACCGCGACACGGCAGGGGUCGGCGGGGAGUGUGAGCACGGUGUUCGUACCGGGUUUGGAUUCCGUUUUUUCGGGCGGCACGGAUGCUGCCAACAGCCGCCCGCUGAGUCCCCCCUGGAGCCCGCCCGCCGGGCCGCAGCUGGCGGCGGCUACGGAGAUGGUGGUGUUGGGCGGCGGCGGCGGCGGCGGCGGCGGGGGCGGCGGCGGCGGUGGAGGUGGAGGGGGCGGGCGGCGGGAGGCGAUGCCGCUGCUCAGCCGCUCGGCAUCGGGCAUGGCGCUUGGGUGAGAACUACGUCGUGCUGUGUCCAUGUCCGUGUUCGUAUUCUUCUUUAGGAGGGCAAGUCGUUGGUCGAAUCCAGCUGUGCUUUGGUGUGCUUUGCCAUACCGACAACGCAUUUGCAAGUGCCUUGGUAAGGAAGAGGUUUGGGAUCUACUACGCGGGUUUCUCUUCACCAGUCUACCCCAUGUGCGCGCCCUGCAGGCACCUGCCCUCCAUCGCCUGCACCACCUGCGCCACGCCCGGCGGCGGCGCCACGCCGCGCCACGCGCCGCCGCCCUCCACCACCUUCCUCACACCCGAGGAAGAGCUCUGGAUGCCUGGCGGCGGCGGCGGUGGCGCUGGCUACGCAGCCGCCACCACCAGCAGCACCACUGCGGGACCGCUGCCGGUGACGCCCAAGCGCGCCUCCGCCACGGGCGGCGUGCCGGGUGGGCUGCGACCCAUCCACACACAACCCACGCACGGAGCCGUGGCGGCGCUAGGACUGGACAUGGGCCCCUCCAGCGCCGCGCAGCCAGGCACGCCCAUCAACCUGGCACAUCGCAGCGUGGGCACGGCGGCGGCAGAGGGUGGCGGCGCCAGGGGCGCCGGCGCUGAUGGGGGCGGCGGCGGCGGUGGUGGAAAGAGGGGUGGUGGCGGAGCGGCCGCCGCCGCCGCGAUCCUGGCGGCGGCUGUGCACAGUGGCUCCACCGCAGCUCUGUCCACGUCAUCAACACUGCCGGGCGGCAGCGGCGCCGCCGUCGCCACCGGCGGCGCCGGAGGCGGCGCCGGAGGCGGUGCUGGCGGCGGCGUUGCCGGCGCCCGUGGCGGCGGCGGCGCAGACGCGGCGCUCGCGCCCGGCAUGUGCUCUCACGCGGCGUUUGCGGAGACGGCGGCGGCGACGUUCUCACUGGUCAUUCAUGAUGUGGAGCUGGAGCUGCCGCCCGCGCCCGACGGCGGCUGGGGCGGCGUGGGCGGCGGCAUGACGGUGGGCGGGCUGAGCGGCCAGCAGGCGGCGCAGCAGGCGGCGCUGGCGAACCUGCUGCAGGUGGGGCGCUGCCGCGGUGGCCGCCCCGGCAUCGCGUGUGUGUGAAAAAUACCAUACUUACACCGUGAUGCUGAGGAACGCCGCGGCGAUUGACAGGGCCAACCGUGUUAAGCAGCGAUGCUGCUUUGCGUCCAGCUCUCUCCCUUUAGAAUCCUUGCACGCAUGGCCAAAGCCCUGCUAACGGUCUACUUAUGUUCAGAUACUUUAUGCUGUCCUUCCUCUUUCGUCCAUCUCCCGACACGCACGUACACACACACACACACACUCAACAACACAGGGUGACUACUUCCUGGUCCUGCGCUGCGGCUACGUGUGGGCCACCACCGCCAGCCUGCGCGCCACCGCCGCAGCAGCCGGCAGUAGCACCGCAGCAGCCGCGGCCGCAGCCGCAGUCGCAGCCGCGGGCGGCAGUAGCGGCGGCGGCGGCAGUAGCUACGGCGCCGGUCCGCGCCUGGCCCCGCAGAUGGGUGUGGUGCUGCCACUCACCAAGCCUAGCUCCAUGCUCAGUCUGGCAUUGUACCGGCGGAAUGACACGGUAGCGGGGAAGAAGGUGCGUCUGCAAGCUUUGACGCAUGCCACGUACAUUUGUACUACGUACAUGAUAUAUGGACGUAAUACGAUGUGUACAAACGUGGAUUCCGGGCAAUACCAUCGCUUGUUGCCGGGUUGUAGCGCUUGCCGCGAGCAGCACCGUGCCAGCCGAGUUCAGGUCGAUGCUUGUGUGUGUGCCUCGGCCCUUGCCCGCCCGCACAUUCUCAUUGUUGCCAGCCCUCAACCCCAGAACACCCACAACUGCCACGCCGCUCCCUCCCCUCCAACCCACAACUCCUAACCCACAACUCCCAACCCAUAACCCCGCAGGUUCUCAACGUGCGCGCCAUGAUCGGCAUGGUGGCGGCGGAGGGGCUGGUGGGCAAGCUGCGGCUGCGGCCGUCCUCGUUGGCUCCCGGCCGCGCCGUGGACGUGUGCCUGCCUCUCAAAGGUGAGGAAGGGGGAAGCUAUGGCCCGCUGGGGGUUCAGCGCGCAGCUUUAGCGCAGUUUUGGGGUGGUUGGGGGCAGCUGGAGCACAAGGCAAAUACUGGGCGCAUGUGCGUGUUAGGAAAGCAUAUGCAGUUUGUGCUUGUGUGUGUGUUGCUGGGGGCAGGUAUCUCCUGGAAGCGCUCUCCUCAACCUCUACGCCUCGGGUGUGCAUCUCGCCCUGCCCACUCACCCGCGCCCGCCCAUCUUGACCCACCCCACCCAACGGGCACCCCCGUGCUGCAGCUGAGCGCUCCGGCUCGCGCCCCUGCGCCACCGUGGCGUGGGUGCGGCUGAGUCUGCUGCUGGCGCCGGGGCCGCGCGGCCUGCCGGGGCUGCUGAUGGCGUAUGCCGACCCGCCCGUGUUCCCACCCCUGGCCAUGCUCAUGGUGCGUAUGCGCGGGUGGGGUGCAGGGGAGUUUACACCAAUCUGAGUUACAUUAAGACCCAGGGGAGGAGGGGUAAGUGCCCGCGCCCGACGACUCUGUCCCAUGCUCAUCAUCGGAAUGCCCACCUAGAGCGAGGCGGGGGCCGGGGGAGUGGUUAGGGGAGGGGUGUCCCUGUGUGUGCACAGGCGGGGCUGCGCCGUCCAUGUAAGUCAUCCCAGGAUGCCGCCACCUCCCAGGCUAGCUGUGCUAACAUGUCUCCCCGCCUCACUUUUCCACACGCCUGCUCCCCGCACUCUGGGCCCGCCGCCGCCUCCUCCGCCUCCGCCGCAGGAGGGUGCGGUGUCGGGCGCGGGCCUCAGCGCCACCCUGCCGCUCACCGACCCGGCCAAGAAGGUGGACUCGGACGCACUCAGGCGGAGGGAGCGGCGCCUGCUCAUCAAGUGAGAACCUGGGGGCCGGGGGGGGGGGGCUACAUUCGUGAUUGAUGAGAAGCUGGAGGCGGGGGGUAAGCCGUUCAUUUGGAGAACGGAUUGAUGAAAUCACAAAGUAUGAAGUGUCAACGUCCAGUGGGGGGGCAGGGCGACGCAUUCCCCACAGCCCCCACUUGCAAGGCUCCUUCCAUGAGUCGUGGGGUGCCCGUAACUGCAACGGAGGGAGCGCCAAACAGGUAGACCAUGGGUAGGAGGGACGAAGGCGCGGGAGGCGGCGUCGCCGUGUGACUGCUGCGCGAAUUCCCACACGCACACACACACACACACACACACACACACACACACACACACACACACACACACACACACACACACACACACACACCUGCAUGCGCGGCUGCGCACAGGUGGCUGUCGGAGUGCAGUCCAGGCGUGUCCGCCGCCGCGGCUCGCAAGCUGGUGGAGGACGGCCGCACCGAGUUCAACGCCGGCCGCACGGGGCAGAACUGGAAGCGCAUCGGCCGGUGAGCCACAGAGCAAGGGAGCGAGAGCGAGAGGGAUGAGAGCAAGGGGGCGAGAGCGAGAGGGAUGAAAGCAAGGGAGCGAGAGCUAGGAGGGCCGGGGCUUAGGUUGCCGGCGUUACCGCUCCGUACAUACGCCACCGCACUCUCACGGCCCCGUGAGCCACGACCACUCCUCCAUCCUGUGACGCGCUCCCUCCGUGACCUCCUCCUCAACAAUCCUUCAACUGCGCGCCUCGUCCUUCCCUCGCACUCGCACUCGCAGCGCCUUCGCUGCAACCGAGCCGAUGCAGCGCUUCUGGUCGCACGUGCAGAGCUGGCGGCAGCCAGGACUCACGCUGGCAGUGGCGGCGGCCGAGGUCGCGUUCCUGAUCUGGCCCUCCCGCGUGCUGGCGGCGCUACUGCUGUGGGCCGUGGUGGCGCUACUGCAGGGCCGGGCCAGGCUACUGCCGCCGCAGUUGACUGCGUCCGACAGCAGCAGCGGAGGCGGCAGUAGCUACGGCGUGGACGGCACCGCCGGUGGCGUUCGUGGUGGAGGGGGCGGCAGUAGCACCGGGCACGGCGGACCUGGCGUGGGCGGUGCGGAUGGCGCUGGCGCUGCGAGCGCGGAAGAGCCGGCGGCAGUGCCUGUGGUGGCGGCGGUGGCGGCGCCGCCGCCCCAGAGCGCGACCGCGGCGGCGGUGGCGGCGGUGGAGCAGGCGCACCAGAAGCUGCUGGCGUCUUUCUCGUCGUGGUUCGGCGACACAGCAACAGCCGCGCCCGCGCCGCCGCCGCCGCCAGCAGCAGCAGCAGCAGCAGCAGCAGCGGUUGCCGGCCGCAGCGCCAGCGGCGGCAGCAACAGCGGCGCCGCCGUGGGGGCUAGCGUGUCACAGCCCCUGCCGGCAAUGGUGGCGGCACCGGCGGUCGUGGGCGCUGCGGCGGCGGGGGCAGCGGAGGUGGAGCGGUCCCGGGCAACGCCGUACUUCGGCGAGCCGGGUGCGAUGGUGGAAGACAUCGUGAACGACCCCGAUCCGGGUGAGUUGAGGCAUAGCACGUCACCUCGGCACUCAGCACGCUGCUUGGCGUAAAAUAAUGAAGGCGACCGGUCAUAUAUCGGUGUGUAUGGCUGCAUGUCGUAGCUCGAUUCUGAAUGGGGCACAACCAUACGUAUAAUAUGAAGCACCGUCUUCCCAGCAUGUCGUUACGUACGCUGCCUACUCCCUGUUCUUCGCCGCUACUUUAUCCCAUCCCCUUACAGCCACCGCACGUGCCGUCGACACCGAGUCAGCAGCCGCCGGCGACGGCGGUGCUGCAGCUGGUGCCGGCGCUGGUGGUGGUGGCGGCGUGCUGUCGCCCUCCGCCUCCAUCACAGACGCCCGACAACUCGCGGCGGCCGCAUCCGUCACCACCGCCACACCCACUCAGCCGCAGCCGGUGCCUGCCACGCCCACCGCCGCCUCCGCCGCGGCAGCGGCCGCCUCCGCUGCCGCCGGCUGGAUAUUCGGCUCCUCGCCGCCGCCAGCCGCCGCCGCUAGCGACUGGGCCGCACACCAGCAGCAGCUGCUCAGCCGCGGCGGCGGCGCAGCCGCCGCUGCCCCCGCCCCCGCCGCCGCCUCUUCGACCGCCCUUGCCCCCGCCGGAACGGCCGUGCCGGGUGGCGGCGGCGGCGGCGGUGUGAUCGAGCGGUUGGCGGCGAUGGCGGGCGCGGAGGUGCCGAAGGACCCGCUGGCGGCGCUGCGUCAGCAGUACGACCAGCUGGUGUACUUUGGGCUGCGGGUGCAGAACGUGCUGGACGACAUAGCGGGGGCCAUGGAGCGCGUGCAGGUGAGCAAGUGUGUGUGUGUGUGUGUGUGUGUGUGUGUGUGUGUGUGUGUGUGUGUGUGUGUCUGUGUGCGUCUGUUUGUAAAGGAGGUGUUCGAGGUUACCAAGGUCGGUACGUUCGGUCACACGUACGUGUCGCGUGCGUAGGGCUUUCACAACAUGUUUGUUAGAGAGCACCCCACCACAAUGUCGCUUACAUCCAUUCUCAACAACCUGCACAUGCGCCCUCGUUGCCACCGCCGCCGCCGCCGCUGCUCCGCAGGCGCUGCUGUCUUGGCGGGACCCUGUGGCCACGGGCAGCUUCGUGCUGUGCCUGCUGUGCCUGGCGGUCUCCCUGUGGUUCCUGGGCCUGCGUGCUGUGCUGGGUGCGCUGCUGCUGUACGACCUGCGGCCGCCGCGCUGGCGCGACCCCUGGCUGCCGCCGCCCGCCAACGCAUUCGCGCACCUGCCCACACGGGCUGACCUCAUGAUGUGAUUGUGGGGUGCUGAGGUGCUGGGGUGCUGAGGCGGUGAGGGUGUGUGAGGAAGGGAGGUUCAACAGAGGCUUGGGAGGGCGGAAUGAACGACGGUGCGGGUUUGGCAGCAGCUGUGUACGGAACGCAGAUGCGGGAGUUGAUGUACAUAUAGUGUCUUGGAUUGGCUGUGCAUCGUUCAGGCCGCAGCUUGGAUAUGGGAUUCUGGAUUCUAAAACUUGAAUCCUGCAUCCGGGAGUAAUGUUGCCGCUGGACGGAGUGAGGGGUUGGUGGGGAAGCCACCAUGCGGGUGGUUGAGAGGAGGCGGGCGGAUCAUAAGUGACAGGCCGCCUAGCACAAGACUAUUGCACUUUCGUUGGCCACGGUUGCUGGUACGGGACUAUUGGGGCGUUGUGAGAUGUUGCUGUACGGGAUUUCGAUGGUGCCUGGAUGAAGAUGCUGAGACUAGAAACAACGCUUGUUGAUCGCUGUGGCAGUGGCAUGAUGUACGCAGGGAGCAAGGCCGGACGAGAGGAGGUAUGCAUAGCCGUGCGUGUGACUACCGUACUGCCUGAAUGCUGAAGACUGUGGCUGAGGGUCUGAAUCGAAGUACACUGGCACAACGGCCAACAUCGUUCACUGCUGACUCGCCUCCACCUCACCACGCGCCCGAGCGGGGGAGGGCAGUCCACGGCACACGUCCAGUGACUGCCCUUGUCACGAACAGCCCUGAACGGCCCCCCUGCCGGCAAACUCCUCAACGCCGGGGCCUCGAUUUGGCUCCGGACCCCAAUGCAAAUGCAUCACGUCGUGCUUCAACAUGCUCACGCACCGGCGGCUCAUGACAGCCCGGCCUCGCCCGGCGCCGCGGCUUUGAUGCCGCCGGCGCCUCCGCUGUUGGAUAUGAGUAAUGGGUGCGGCUUUGACAUGACGCCAGCGGCCCGGCGACAGAGGAUGAAAGGACUUAAGGACAGCGCCGUUGGACCCCACCUGUCCACACCCAUCCCCUCGCGGCGCUCCCCAGCAUCGGCCCAUCACGCCUUCAGCCUGUUCGCCCUUCGCUCGCUCGCUGGUAUCAGCCGGCAUCCACUCCACAUUUCCGCAAUGCAAGCUUGUCGCCCUAUGCCACCGUGAUGGGAGUGCGGCCGUGAGAGACAGUGGAAACAGCGUAGAUAGCUGGCAUGAGCGGGUGAGUUGGCAACAAGGUGAGCAGCGUGCUGUAGCGGCCGUGGCGAGCUUGGUGGCGAGGCCGCGUAUGGUAUCGUAUGUACAUACGUACACAGGUGCGGGCCGCGAGCAGCCCGCAACGCACACCAAGACAAGGCAAUAAGACACACAUGCUGGCACUGGAGCAACACGAAGAAUGAUUACAUCAAGGCUGCUGCUGCAACCAGCCCACACGGCUCGACCCACGCACGCCAUUAGCACCUGCCAGCUGCAGGCAUACGCCGCAUGCACCACUAGUUUGAAGAUAAUGCAGUUUUCUCAAAGCUGGUCAAAGCAUUCAAUCAUCAGCCAGUUUCUGUACUGUUGCCUUGCAGCAAUCUAUAGGGACCCGCACACAGCGCAUCAAGAGCAAAGACCACAACCACUUCCAUGCGGAGCGCGUUCGCAUUUCAACGCCACGCCAUGCCCCGCUAUCCGCCUGCGGGUGAAGACCGCAUAACAACUUUCAAGUGCAUUAGAUAUGCUUGGUUUCCCACCCGCCGUCGCUUCCACUCGUGCGUGCCAUCACCACUGCCGGGUACAUGUGGCAGUGUAGCUGUGAACCACCACGGCCGUACCCACAAACCGUUAACAGAAUACCCGCCCUCACACGCACCCUAAUGCCAACCAGCCAGGCCACCAUGCAUACUCAAGGUUGUGGACGCAAGCGUGCCUGGCCUGGUACGUCCAGGCUUGCUCAAGCCAUAUCACAUGCAUCUCAUAUACUAUGUCACUGCCGCUCAGUUUAAAGGACGAUCAGGGUUUCAACCCUGGGGACGAGAGUUAAAGCUCUCUAAAAUGUGGAAAGGUGUCGACAGGAGCACACGCCCGCGGAAAGGUAAAAAAAGAACACAAACGUACGGCAAGUAUAUGAGUCGGUCAAGGUCACAUGCCCGCGCACGACGGCCACGUGCAUACCAGAACAGAAGCCACUGCACUCGUACUCGUAGGCCUGGUUCGUUUGUAAUAUGGGACGAAGGACCUGCCCCGUCAGCAUACACACAGCAUGACAUGCCCCUGGAAGCCAACACGCGCGCUCUUCGUACUGUACGUGCCAUCCCGCAGAAACCGGAGCCUGGCGCACACGUCCCCGUGCAGCUACUUGGUGUUCAAGCCGCACCAUUGCGCCACAACGACAUGCGGAGCCUUUCAAAGACACAGGUACCGCGCCGCCCGCUCACGGGGCCCAUGCAAAACCACUUAAUAAGUAAAGCGCCAGCCGCUGCUCACGACGGCAGUAAAGCUGCCGCGCUUGGCGCGCGCACACCGGCUCGCUCACGAACACAACACGCAGCGCGCGCGUCAGGCCCAAACAUAAGAGCCUUUGACCGCGACCGCGCGCCCAUCCCGUACAGUUGUUCUUAAGUGUGCCUGUAUUGCCUCUUUUGUUCAUUAUCCUGCCGCUGUGCCUCUAAGCGGCACAGCCUAGGCCCCACUCCCACAUUGCCACCAUUGUCUAAUACUUCUUUCCAUGCCGCUGCUUCCAAUGCCUGCACGAGUGCAAAGAGCAGCAUACGGCACCAACUGGUGUACACCUGACCAGCGGCACACAUCCAGAACCAGCCGCUGCCCACCGCUGACUGCUUCCUCUUUCAGGGAGCAUUCCGCAGUACCACCAGACAUAGGAAUGCUCUACUCGCCUCUCAAGCCCCAGCCUCAGCCCCUUGCCCCGCGUCCCUAGCGCCUCCCCCCGGGACUAGGAGUCUAAUCCCUUACUUCUUCACAUGCAGCCCCACCGCCCCAAUGCUGGGAAGCAGCCCGCGCUUCGCCACCGCCGUCGCGGUGAUGUUUAUACGCACACCCAGCACCACGGCAUCCCGCGCCGGCCCGUACCCGCCCGGCAGCUGCUGCGCCUUGAGCGCUGCUGUCAGCGGGAAGCUGUUUAUGCCAGGGCACUUGAGCGUUUCAUUGGCGGAGCCGGUGUGCAGCAGCAGGGGUGUGGCGGGUGAGGUGCCGGCCUUGACCAUGAUUUCAAUGGAGCUGAAGACUGGCUUGAGCGCGCCCCGGUUGAGGACUAGGAUCUGAGGAAAGGUGCGAAGGCAAGGGGUUGAGGGAAAGAGAGGUGUGAUAAGCAGUGAGCGAGCGAGUGGUGCGGUCCGGGGGUUGUGAGGCUGGUGGCCUGUGUAUGCACGCCAAGACCGUAGGGCUGCGUCGGGCUCCAGCGCGUUUUACGAAGUGCCCGGGUGUGAGCGCCGAUGUGCGUCGGACUUGUAUGUAGUCGCGGCGCGCCGUAGAGAUCGCUAAGGAUACGCUGCAGCAGAUGACGACCUAUGCCUUAUGCUUCCAUAUGGCGCUUUGCAAGCGGCGCACGAGCGCGUGGCUUUCGGCGUAUACGAACAGAUCCCGAGCGGUUGACGCCCGCACCCAUCUAGCUCUAGUGUCCGCAAAACCGGUUGAAACGUCCGCACCUGCAGCUCCUUGGCGUCAGAUACAAGGAUGCUCGGAUCAAUCUGUAAAUUGAGCCACAGCAAGUGAGUCAGAGCUGCGCUAGCUGAGUGCGUGUGCGCGCGAAGCCCGCGUGCGAGCGGCGCUGGCGCCCGGUCGGCGCGCGGGUUCCCUCAUGUGGCAGGCGGCACCGCCGCCCUGAUCAAGGCAGCACACGCACACGCACGAAUAAGAAGUAGCCGUCCUAGAUAUCCCCCGCCUCGGGCGCAUGCCCCUACCUCAAAGCGAACGUCUACGUAGCGCGGUACCUGUGGCGGGAGAGCAGGGCGCGCACGCAGAGUUCGUGAAUAGAGCAGCUGAAAGGUCGGCAGGCGGUAUUCGUGUAUUCGUGUUCGUGUAGAGGGUGAUCGCUUACGUAUCAUAGGUGUCAUAAGUGUUUGAUCUCAAGCAGUACGCAGCGAAGAAGGGUGUCAGGCCUGCAUCGGACAGCCUUUUUCCCCAAAACGCGGCCUGUCCACCGCGCAUCAUUCGCACAUAUGCUGCACAGACUUAAACCUCAUGACGCAACCCUUGCCGGCAGGUAAAACCAAACGGGGACAAAUUCAAAAAGGUCAAUUGCACUUGCCUCUGAGGUCGGAAUCCAGCUCAGGUCCCCUCCGUCUGGCUUGCACUUCUUUCUGAUAGUCUGGGCUUUCUUCGGCGCACCGAGGAGGCGCCUUACAGCACCGGGCGAUGUGUCAGUGCCGUUCAGGUCGAAAGGCCCACGCGCUGCCAACGCCCAUACUACUUGCUCCUGGCCUGUACUAGGGCUUGGCACAGGAGCAGGCACAGGGGACGGCGGAGGCCGCCUUCCGCGUUGUGCCCAAGCACCGCCCGCCGCGCAUAUAACCAGUAGAGUCAGAACAAAGUGUUGCUUAAUCAUUUUACAGCAAAAAAGCUAUUUCAGAAGUGGCAAUACAAACAUACUCAGUCACAGAACUUCUGCGCCCCUCCCUUGGAUCCGCGCGUUGGAACCGAUGUAUGGCGCGAAUAACUUGGCCUGUUGCCCAGGCCAGUGCAAGAUCUAUUAUUAGAUGUAAAGUGCUCGAAGUGCUAUGUUUACCCCUCAGCAGGCGCUGUGCCAGCAUGAAGAUGCCCUGGUGUGAGGCACAAGUUUUGCGGACCCCAACCACGGACCAAAACUUCCUUGCUCCCAUUACUUCAAGGAAUCUGCGGAAUUAUAUGUGUUAUCGAGGAGGAAUUUGUACCAAUGAGAUAAAAGCGCAGCGCCGCUGCUGGACAGCUUCGACGAGGGACCAUGAAACCAUCUUCGAUGAGGGCGGUAUUCAGGGCGGGCCCCCAGGACCCUCGCUUUGGGCUUGGCUUGCAGCCACACGCGCGAGCGCACAGUGCUCACUUGGCAGCAUCCUCGCACUCUAGGUUACUCAGCAACUAGGCUGGCACUUGACAGUAGCACCAGCCACUGCCAGCCUGACAUCCGGGCACAGAGGUGUCAUGGUCGGUCUCAUGCCAGCAUGGAUUGCGCACAGGCUGACGCGUGGGUGGAACAGUAGUAGAUGGUAGGAAGUCCCAUAUGCGGCCAAGGCAAUGAAUAGAACCGAAACCCAGAAGGCCGGGAGUCCCAGGACCCAAUACAGCCUCGCACUUUUGAAGCUUGCAGUGCGGCGGCGGGAGUGCUGCACUUGCAUUGCGCCAAUGAUACUUUUCGGCUUUUCCGCCUCACGCAGCGGACUGCUUGGGGAGCGCGGGCGCCCCAGCCCAUGAGUCCAGCCAAGCCUGGACGCAGUCCAGUUGCAGUGUAGAUCGGAAUGCGGAGGAGAACAGUGCAAGGGGCGGGGACGGGGACACGGCGUGCUGGGGAGGGAAGAGCUGGACCUAUCCAGCAAGUCCGUCAGCUUGCAAUCCUCGAUGUCGAAGAACCUGUCCAAUGGUCACUUUCAUAAUCCGUGGACCGCGAUUGCCCAAGCUGACGCUUUGCAUGUUGCCGGGCUUGUGGUUGUUGCGGUCGCGUAGCCAGGCACCUCUGCAUCAUGAAAGGCGUUCUCAGGCAAGACAGAGAGGCAGCAACCCCCUUACCCCACACCAAAUCGUCUUCUACCGGCAUUUAAUGCCCCUUGCGUCUCCUGGUCAAUGGGAGUGGGGCCAGGUGGGGCCAUGCGGGACAAUGGGAAGGGGGGCUUCGAGUUGGUCGACCUCGGGUUGGGAUCCAAGUGCCACGCGCGGAAAGCACCUUCAUUUGACAAAUUGUUACUCUCUGCAAGCUAUAUAUAUAUACAGUAAUAGGCCUGGCCAAGCAAUCUGUCCUCCAAAUCCAGGGCCGAAAUGGCGGACCCCGCGAAGAAAGGCAAUGUGGCGCUUGAAGAGGACGACGAGUUUGAGGACUUCCCUCAAGAAGAAUGGGAGCCAUCCGUGGUGCGUUGCCGCCCGCGAACCUGUCGGCAAUGCCUUUCAAGAGUUGCCUGUGCAGCAGCCUACCGUGCCCUGCUCCAGAGAACCUCAGCAAGCCAACCUUCUCGCUUGCUACACCUUGCAGGAAGACCUGAAGAAGAAAGAACUUUGGGACAAGUCCUGGGACGACGACUCGUUGGACGACCCUGUGGGCCAGCAGCUGCGGACGGUGCUCCCCACCGUGGCGCAGGGCGCCCAGGCGCAGCAGCAGGCGCAACAGUGAACACGGGAAUUGGUUUAGGAGUGAAAGUGAACAGAGGAAUGAGGGCUAGGAGUGCCGGGGGCCGUCUUGCAGCAGGAAAGGGGAGGGGGGGUGAGCAAGCAUCGUUGCAGUGCGCGGGCCUCCUAGCUGGUUUGGCCGUGCGGGGCUAGUUGAUUACUGCGCGCCAGGAUCGGGAGCUCCUACAGCCUUCUAGUCUGAGACGUCAGGUCUGUGUACAGCGGCACAUCUCCAGGAGACGCGGCGACGGAGCUUGGCUGGGCUGAGUCAGCUUCUGCAUGUACAUAGGGACCUCGUACGGCUGCGCUGCGGCCUCCAGUAGCAGCAUGAGGGACUCGGGACUCGGAGCUGACCUGGACUGUAUAGGCCCUGACAAGCUGGAUGGCGGCUAGGUGGCACGGAUUCAGGUGACGUGCGGUGAGUCUGGCGGAGGGGUUGCCGGCGACGGCGUGUGUCUGCCAGCAAGCGGACUCGCGGAGGCCGGCGUUGCCUCCUUGGCGGCGCACUGCCGGGGCGGCCAGUGGGCGAGAGGGCAACGCUGGAGUGGCCCUAUAGAAGCUGCGCGCUAUGUGAGGACGGGGCCCGCACGGGACCGCUUUCGGACUGGAUGUUUUGGCAAUUUGGGCUGAGCCCCCAAGCACAGCGAUUCAAAGGGGGGCGCCCCAGGAGCACCAAAACCACUACUGGCGCAAACUGCGAGUGGCGUACACCAGUAUUUAGUAAGGUCUGUUGAUCGCCAAUAGGCGGCGGGUCCAAAUCAGCAGGAGCGAGAUGAGGUAGACUGGGGACGUGGCGUGGGCUCAGCCCAUAUUUCCCUUGCGAGGGAAACACCACCUUUCUUGAUGUACCGUAUGCACCAGCCGCAUGCCUCGCCAACCUGCUUGAACCCUGUCCCAUCACACACCAGCCGCAUGCCUGUGUGCCGCUACCUGGCAUGAUGUGACGGUGAUCCGUGUUUGUUGGGUGCAUGAUAGACGGGGGCAAAGCGACGAGCCGGUGCUGCGCGCACGUGUUGCACGGCCGGCGCAUAUCGGGUGUCUGAGUGCCGGAGUGGAUGAGUGUGCGAUGGGACAGUGGUAAGGCAGGUUGGUGAAGUCCCAGCUGAUUCCCAGACCCCAGCAGGUGGCAAACAACCGGGUGUCUGAGUGCCGGAGUGAAUGAAGCAGCAAAGAAUGAGGAGAGUCUGGAGUCUGCUGACACGGUGCCAUACGCAAGUUGACGCACAUGAUGUGCUCCCAGGCGGCAGCGUGGCAGGGAUCUGAACACCUGGUGUUGGUUGGGCCAGGGCCUGGGUGUAUCCGCGGAUUGGGCGAUGUUGCUGUCGCCUGCGGGAUGUCUUGACUUUCCUUUCACUGUGUCAUAAGAUUCAUGAGACGUAACCGCGUCCAGUAUGCAGUAUGAUGGUAACGUUCAUCCGCAUGUCUUACAGUGCCCUCCACGGUUGCGACAUGCCCACGGGCCCACGGUACUAGGGCCGUCCGUGGCUCUCACCAACGCCGCGUCCCCACACGCCGAAGCAAUGUGUUUAGUUUGCGCCUCGGACGCUUGCUUCACUGUCAUGCGUACGUCGCAUCUAUUACAGACUUCGAGUUGUGUCUGUGUGAGCGGCAAGGCCACACUCAAUGGCCCUGCCGGUCCGAGUCCCACACAGUCAUGCGGCGGUCACGCUUGACACAUGCGACCAGCUUCCACCUGUCAAGACCCCAAGCCUGCACAUGUGCUGUUGUGCUGCUGGCACACCUCUCGCAAGAUAUACAGCACAGUUGCCAGCACCUACACGAACGAACAUAAUGCGCCACUCCUGCUGUCCUCGCAGCCGCUGCAUCUCGCAGCGACGCCUAGACUCUCAGCAGCUUCUCUCGGGCCAUCGACCUCCCGCUCCUCAGCGCCUUCAAUGCAUCCAUCCCCACAUCCUCGUGGUCCGGCAGCAUGCAGUGCAGUGCAGCACACUCCCCAGCGCACACUCUCGUACACCCCCCACAUCGCCACACACACACACACACACACACACACACACACACACACACACACACACACACACACACACACACACACACACACACACACACACACACACACACACACACACACACACAUACACACACACACUCACACGGCGCAGCUGACCCGCAGUGCAUCCGCACGCGGGGAGACAGCAUCAGAUGCAGCCGCCCAACAGUGCGCCAACGUGCACACGCGCACUCACUCGGCCGCUACCCCAAUCCACGCACGCCAUAACGUGCUGCCUGCAGCCCAGCUACAAGCCGGGCCCCCUCAUGCCCGUGCGCGCUUGCCCCCGGCCGCCUUGCCCCCAGCCGCCUUGCGCUUGGCACCACUGUCGCCAUCACCGUCGCCGUCGGCGUGGGCGGGCGCUGAUGCCGCCGCCGCCGCCGCCGCCAGUAGGUCCGCGGUGACGGCCUGGGCCGCCUCCAACGUCUGCGGCUUCUCUGUGGGACAAGAUGAGGAGUGGGGCGGGAGGGUGUUGGAUGACGGUUUUGUGGGGGACGGCAGCCCUCUCUCCUGCACACCUCCGCCCCGCCCAACCCUUCCAAGCCCUUCCAGCCCAGCGCACCUUCCUCCUCCUCCUCCUCGGCCGCCACUCCGCCGUUGCCCUCGUCCACGCCCGGAUCCUCCAGUCCGCCUCCUCCUCCUCCUCCCCCGCCCUCCGCGUUGUCUGCCUCCUCGUCGUCUGCCAGCACGCCCUUGGCAUCCAGCGCCGCGUACUCGCCCGCCUUGGCGCCCGCGGCCGCCGCCUUCUUGGCGGCGCGGGAGCGCACCUGUGCGCAGGGAGGUAGAGCGGGCGCGGGUGCGGUGGCGAGUGGUGGGUGGCGGGGAAGGGCAAGGUGGAGACUUGAGGCUGAGGCUCGGGCCCAUUACCCCUCCCCCCUGCUGUUUCCCCAAGAUUGCCUACCGUCAACCAUGUCCGAAUCAUGAAUGUAUCACCAACCCCUUCCCCCCACACACAAGUGGGCGGGCUUUCGUUUCGAUGUUUCAAACACAAGCCCGCGCUCACCUUUUCCAGCGCCGCCAUCUCGGCCGGCGUGGGCUCCACCAGCCCGCUCACGCCGCCCGCCAGCACGCCGCCCAUCCACUCGGCGUAGGGCGGCUUGGGCCGGUACAGGCAGCGGCGGCUGAUGGCGGAGUGGAUCAGGUUGGCCCAGUGCGGGUCCACCUGAGGGGAUGGGUGGAGGGUUACAUUCAUGAUGAGCUAAGGAACUGGUAGACGGUAGGCAAUCUUGGGGGGGAGGAUUAUAGGGGGGUAUAGGGGCACAUGGUAAUGAAGCAGAGAAGUAGAGCGCCGGGUACAGCGGGUGGUGUAGCAAGGGGUUCCGGGCACCGGUAUGUGACUACUCAGGUGAGAUGGCGGUGCUGAGAUGGCGGGGGAGGGGGGUAAGGUUGCACUGGGUGGGUGGUGGGUUGAGGGGGCGGGAGGUGUGGGAUGCAGGCCAGGGUGUAAAGCUCCUCCCCACCCCUCCCCCUCCCCCUCCACCGCGCCCUCCCUUCCCCUCGCCCUUCCCUCCACCCGCACCCCCACCCCUCAGCACCGCACCUGCAGCGCGCGCACGUUGCCGAUCACGAUGAGGCUGCAUCGCGCGCGCGUGAGGCCCACGUUGAUGCGCCGCUCGUCGGCCACGAAGCCGAUGCCGGCGCGCCGAGCGCCCUUCUUGGGGGCGGGCGGCGAGCGCACCGCGCUGAAGAUGCAAAUGUCCUUCUCGCGACCCUGGGUGGUGCAGAGAUAAAUGUGUGUGUGUGUAGGCGAGGACGUAGGUAAAGAAAUGGUGUGUGUUGGGUUUGAGGGUGGUGGUGGUGCAGGGUAGCCCCCAAGGGUGUUGGCACUUGCAAGCCUUGCUCGAAGCCCAACGAACAGGUCCCAGCGCCUGUACUGGGAAGACCUGGCAGCAGUCGACUGGCCACUUUCCCCCUUAGGGUUUGGUCCUUGUAGCCCUUCCCCUCCUCCCCUCCUCCCCUCAUGCACGGCCACUUCCCCAGCUACCUCCCCACACAGGUCGCCUCCGCACCUGGAACCCGUCAAUGGUGUUGAUGUCCACCAGCCGCGCCGCCUCCUCACCCAGGGCCGUCUUGAACGAGUCCCGCAGCAGCUUUACCUGCGGGGUGGGGGGUUACAUUCAUGAUUAGUUAAGGAAGUGGUAGCAGCUUUACCUGCGGGGUGGGGGGGUGGGGGGUGGCAGCGAGACAUCAGGAGGGGCAGCAAGAGGGGGGCAGCAAGCGAUAAGGGUAGGACAGCGAGAGGCAAUAGCCGUUCGGGGGGGGGGGGGGUUACAUUCAUGAUUAUUCAAGAAGUGAAGGCGGGGGCCGGAAAGCUCAAGCCGCCGACGUCCAGUGGGGGCGAGCUACCACGCGAAGCGCCCCAGCAUACCGCCAUGCCCUCCCUCUUCCCUCUCGCCCUUCCCUUUUCCCCCCUCCCCCGCUCCCGUGCAGCCCCGCUCCAGCGCCCACCUGCGCCUUGUAGGGCGAGAUGACGGCCACACUGGCGGUCCGCCUCAGCUGCGGGUAGGCGUGCACCAACUCGCGGUACAGCACCAACACCAUGUGGGCCUCGGCCUGGAGGUGGGUGGAGGCGGGCGGAGGCGGGAUGACGUCAGGACGUGAGGUGAGGAGGGGUGAAGUGGGGACGGUAAAACUCGCCCAAGCAAACAUAACCACGCACGCACGAUCACUAUCACACAAAUCAUGCACUGCACACACGGCAUACAGCGGUGCUUCCUGAUCGCAACACCGCGCGCCCGCUGCCCCACACCCGCCUUGUUCAUGAUGGACGCGCCGCCGGGCGGAGUGCUCUCGCGGCCCGCCACGUCGUAGAAGGCGAAGGGGCCGAAGGCGGGCUGGCUGUGCCAGGGCUGGACCGUCUCUUGCAGCACACCCUGCAGGCGCCAGGGUGCGGGCGGGAGGUGAGGUGGGGGGGGGGCGUUGGGUGGGGGGAGGAGCGGUGGGAGCGGGUUUGUAAGGUGGCGGGUGAGGCGAGGUUGGUUUGGCAUCAUCUACCCCCCGAAAACACACACACACACACACACACACACACACACACACACACACACACACACACACACACACACACACCUCGCCGUUGAGCAGUCGGCCGUCGUAGAACUCGGCGGAGGGGAAGGCGCUGAUGUCGGGGUGCAUGCGGUACUGCGUGUCCAGGAUCUUGACGGGGUAGCCCGCGGUCUGGUGUGGGGGAGGAGAGGGGAGCGGUAGAGGGAAGCGUUCAGGGCUUGAGUUUGGGAGGAUAGGGAGCCACGCGCGAGCGGUCAGCAAACACAUACGGUAGCCAUUCAAUCCUCUGGGCAGGCCACUGCGGCACCCCUCCGCGCCACCGCCUCAGCCCCUGGCUUCUCACACCUGCAGCCCUCGCACUCACCAGCCCCGCCCCCCGCACCCCACCCAUACAUCCGCCCCCACUGCACACCAAACCGUGCACACACGCCCACCCGCCAACCCAACACACACGCGCCCCCUCCUUUCCCCUCCUCUCCCCUCCCCUCCUCUCCCCACCCCUCCUCCUUCCCCCCUGCUGCCCCCUCCCCCCACCUGCAGCCUCUUGAACAGGCUGCAGUCGUAGCCCUGCUCCACGGCCCGUGUGGCGAUGACAGUGGCGGGCAGCUGCACGGGGUCACCCACCAGGUAUACCUGCAGGGCGGAGGGAGGGGAUGGAGGGGAGGGAGGCAGGGAGGUUCCAGCGUGGGGUUGCAGGCAUUGCUAGCGAGGAGAAGGCGAUGUGAAAGGACGUUGCACAGACUCCAUACCUGCACAUACUUACACAUGGACUACAAUGGCACCCCAAAACCACACGCACACACACACACACACACACACACACACACACAUCUCUUACUACAGCGCACCCAUCACACACAGACACACAACUUCUACUACAGUGCAUCCAUCACACACAUACACACGACACCCUACACACACACGCACACACGCACGCGCCCCCCCCCACCCACCUGCUUGCAGCCCAUGGUGAGCGGCACCAGGGUGGACGGCUCCACGGCCUGCGCCGCCUCGUCGAUCACCACCACGUCGAACUUGCGGCUGCCGGGGGGGAGGGGUGGCGGGGGGGGGGGGGGGUUGCAAGGAUUGGUACAAAGAAAUGUAGCGAAGUAGACAGCAGGUGUGAUAUUGCCCUUCCCCUGUCCCUUAGCUUUCCCUUUCCCUCUCCUCCCUCCCGGCCCCCUCCCAGCCCCCUCCCAGCCCAUCGCACAUAACCACCUCCCUUGCCUCCAUCUCUUCCCCAUCCCUCCCCCCCUCUCCUCCCUCCCAGCCCCCCCGCGCCGCCCCUGUCCCACCUGAGCCUGUAGAACACGGAGCUGCCCGCGAAGGACAGUGUGGAGCACACGAUGUUGGCCUCGUCCAGGAUGGCCACCCGCAUGCGGUCGCGCUCCUGGGCGCCCGUCUUGCCGCCCUGCAGGGUUGGAGGGGGAGGAGGGGGAGGGGGAGGAGGGGAGGCGAGGAGAGGUUUCGAGGUUAGUGCGGUAGAGCAAGGCACAGCGGGAGGCCCGAGAGGGCAGGAGAGAAGGUUGUGACGGGUGUGAAGGGUGUAGUGGCGAGCAGCCUUUGUGGCCCUACCCCGAUCGCGCCCGCCCCCAGCCCGCGCCCCCACCUUGUCUCCGCCCGCUCCGCCCAGCCCCCCACCUUGUCUCCUCCCGCUCCGCCCAGCCCCCCCCCCACCUUGUCUCCUCCCGCUCCGCCCAGCCGGCUGUCCACGAUGUUGUCCAGGCUCACUGCCGCCACACUGUGCACACGUAAGGGGUCGGGUGGCGGGGGGAACGGCGAGGUCAGGGCAGUGGGAACAGGGUCAGAGCCGUGCGAGCAGCUGGUGGGGCAGGGGGGCAGUCAGCGUCACGCAGGGGUUGGCCGAGACCCAGAAGGCGAGCGAGGCGAGGUGGUGGCAGGUGUUAUGGUGUUCAUCUCUUUGACACAAAGGAAGCGGAGCCGCGACUUCCUACAACCCUGCGGUCCACCCGCCAUCUCCAGCCCCCACCCCCAUGCCUCCACCUCCACUCCGGACUCUCCGCCCCUGCCCCGUGCCUCCUAACCCCGCAUGCCUGCUGCCCCUGUCAACCCCCCGGCCCCCUUCGCUCCCCGCCCCCCAUCCCCACCUGUGGUGGCUCCGCACUCCCACCCGCACCAGGCUGGGCGCGAAGUUGGCGCCGUCCUUGUCCAUCAGGCCCGAGCGCAGAAUGCUGCGAGGGGGGCGGGGAGGGGAGGGGAGGGAGACGGGGCGCCGGCGGAGGAGGGAGGCGGAAGAGGGAAGGUUGAGGCCACUGCCACUGCGAGGAUAACGUAACGUUAAAGCCCCCACGACGAAGCAAUACUACCGUUGAUCGACCCCAUUUCAAUCCUGACGACGGCUCCAGUGCAGGUGCCGCCGGGCCGCCUUCCUCUGCCCCUCACGCACGCACACACGCACGCCCUCACGCACCGCAUCACGAUCUCGUCCAGCGCGCUGUUGGAGGGCGCGCACACCAGCACGUGCGCCUUGGGGCCCAUGGCGCGGCCCACGCGCUGGGCCACCACCCGCCGCAGCAGGCCGAAGCAGUCGUCGUGGACUGGCGGGUGGGAAGGGAGGGAAGGAGGGAGGGGGCCAGGGAGGUCGGGUUGGGUUUGGAGGAUGUGGGUGGCCGUGUGGCUGUGUCCCAUACACACAUACACACACAACUUUGUCAACCCUGACCCAUGGAUCUUCCAAACACACACACACACACACACACACGCCGCACACACACACGUACACACACAUGCCGUACACACAACCCGCACCCGCAGACGCACCUGCCCCGGGCGGCAGUGGGUCGUAGGGCGUGACGCGGUCGCGCACGUUGCCCGUGUCCGCCGCGCCGUCGGGGCCCGGCAGCAGCCGCCCCGCCAGCCAGGGGCACUGCGCCGCCACCAGCUCGGAGCGCUCGGACGGGUCCAGCGGGAGCAUGGCGGCCACGCCUGCGUGUGUAUAAGCGUGUGUGCGUGUGUGUUAAAAAAUGAAACGAAAGCCCGCCCCAUAAGCGUGUGUGUGUGUGUGUGUGUGUGUAUUAGGAAAGACGAGCAAAUGUAUGUUAAAAACGAAACGAAAGAGAAUGUGUGUGUGUGUCAAAGAGCACAAGGAAAACAGAGUGUGUGUGUGUGUGUGUUGGUUUGGGGUGACACGGAGUUAAGAUGGGGCGAUUGAAGUGCGCGUGUGCCACUGUGCCGGCCGUGCACUGCCCCUUGCAAUGAGCGUGUACCCUCAUACUUGCAGAAAUAUGUAAUCAUGGUUAAGAUCAUCUUGAGAGAAAGAUGAAUGAAUUUUGUGUAUAAUCAUUGGGUCGAUUCGGUGCGUGAAGCUAGCGGCGGCACAUCCGCACACGUGCAUUACUGCCAGCAGGCGAUGUGGUGCAGACAUGAGUGGGACAGAUGUUUGGUGCGCUGUGUUGCCGCGAUGCGCUGCGUGUGUGCACGUGAGGCUGUCAUUCAGUGCACGCAAGCAACGGUACGUCCAUUGCAAUUCCUUGGCAUCCCUCAUAUUUGCAGAAAUAUGUAAUCACGGAUAGAUCAUCUUGAGAGAAAGAUGAAUGAAUUUUGUGUAUAAUCCUUGGGACGGACUGCAACUGCAUGCUCAAAUUUGAAUGUAAUCCGUGAGGCCAGUUCUGUAUGGGCAUGGCAGAUAUGGCUAUGGCGUGGACAGGCUGGCGCACGAUGGGGGUGCAACUGUGAGCAGCAACCCGCUGUUCUUCCCUCAUAUUUGCAGAAAUAUGUAAUCACGGAUUAGUCAUCUUGAGAGAAAGAUGAAUGAAUUUGUGUAUAAUCCUCGGGACAGGCUGUAAGAGUACACACUGGAAUGCGGCAUGCGUGCACACCAACUAAACCUAACGCGUUGUUUAUGCAGACAUGGCGUAGGAGCUGGUGUGGUGUGUGGCCGGGUCAGGGACUUUCGGGGAUGCCAAGGAGAGCGUUGCUGGUGAGACUGCGUGCCAAAGGUACCUUCCACCUUUCCUCAUAUUUGCAGAAAUGGGUAAUCACGUAUUAGUCAUCUUGAGAGAAAGAUGAAUGAAUUUGAGUAUAAUCCUCGGGACAGGCUACGAGAGCACACACUCGAAUGCGGCAUGCGUGCGCACCAACCAAAUCUUAUGCAGUGUUGGUGCAGACGUGGCGUUGGGUAAUCUGGCGUGGUGUGUGGCCGGGUCAGGGACUUUCGGGGCUGCCUAGGAGAGCGUUGCUGGCGAGACUGCGUGCCGAAGGUACCUUCCGCCUUCCCUCAUAUGUGCAGAGAUAUGUAAUCACGGAUAAAUCAUCUUGAGAGAAAGAUGAAUGAAUUUGAGUAUAAUCCUCGGGAUGGAAGAGGCAACGGGUCCGACGCAGGCAUGAGGGUGCAGUUGCUGGAACCAAAUGCCCACACUACACUUGCAAGCCAUCAUCCCGAAUGCUGAGUGCCGCCCGAGUGCCGCCGGGUUCCGACUGCCUCCCCCCGGGGAUGGCUAUCGGUGGGUGGGGGCAUGAUGCGAAGCCAACUGGGGUGAAUGGGGUGCAGAGUGGCGUGUGCGGUGCGUGUGGCCGUGCGUAAUGAGUGCAGCGGCGUCGGUGCACUUAUUUCCGGGGCAUCCCUCAUAUGUGCAGAGAUAUGUAAUCACGGGUAGUCAUCUUGAGAAGAUGAAUGAAUUUCGUGUAUAAUCCUUGGGAGUUGGAGCCAAUUGGGCAAGGCAGCCGCUGCAGAUGCACAUGCGGAUGCGGGCGCUGUCGCUCACACACGACCCCUGUCAACUGAAGCUCCCCGCGGCACGCACCUGCCCCAACCGUGAAACCCACACCCGGCCCUCGCACACCCCCACCCCCAGCCCACACCCGGCCCUCACACGCAUCCAAACCCAAGCACGCACCCGUCACGCGCCCGCCAUCUGCCGCCGCGGCGGCGGCCGACGCCGCCGCGGCCGCCGCUGACGCCUGCAGCAGCGCAAUGCUGGACUUGUUGGCUGAGUGCAUAAUUACACUCAGCAGGUUGAGGAUGGUGCGCGUCUUGCCGGUGCCGGGCGGGCCCUGCGCAGCGGAAGAGCGGUUCAUGGAGAGGAGAGCGAGGACGUCACAAGUAUGAAGGGGAAGAUAAUGGCAGAAGCCAUGACAAUCGAGGUGAGGGCGCGCGGGCCGGUGUGUGAGAGCGUGCGUCAUGAGGGCAGCGGCGUCGGUGCACUGAUUUCCGAAGCAUCCCUCAUAUUUGCAGAAAUAUGUAAUCACAGGUAGUCAUCUUGAGAGAAAGAUGAAUGAAUUUGUGGUAUAAUCCUUGGGAGUUGGAGCCGACCAGCCAAAGUAGCAGAUGCACAUGCGGACGCGGACGCUGUCGCCCAAACAUGACUCUUGUCACCUGGGUCACCACUGUCACCAAUACCCCCACCCACCCCCACCCCACCCACCUGGAUGAGCACCACGGGCGUGCCGUCCAGCCCUGCCUGCAGCGCCGACAUCUGGGAGGGGUUGCACUCGCGCUCCAUGGCCGCCUUCAUGCCGGGCGGGAUGUCCAGGUGCUUGGAGGCGGGCGCGGCGCGAGACUUGGCUGCGCGGCGGCGGGUGCAGAAGGUGGGGGCGGGUGCAGCAGGGGUAACGGGGAGGGUGUGGGGGAGGGAGAGGGCGCGUGCACGGGUUAAAUUGAAGCACGGGUACCACAGAAACACGCGCCAACUGAAUCGUGUGCAGACCCCAUCGCGCCGCCUCCCCCCCCCCGCAGUCCUCACCGCUGAUGAGUAUGUCCAUGAAGGGCACGAGGUGUGCGUGCUGCAGCGCCACCCACUCGCGCGUGAUGGUGCUGAUGUUGCCCAGCCGCAGCAGCCACCAGCAGCUGCUGGGCGUGCACAGGCCCGUGGUCAUGGCCUUGGCGCUGUGGGGGUGGGCGAGAGGGGAGGAGGGCAGGGUCGUUUAGUCCAACUCAACGUAAUUAAGACCUCGGCCAAGACCCAGGACCAGCGCACCGAGCGGGGAGGAGGGGAGGAGGAGGGGCAGAGGCAGUCGGUUGCAAUCUAGUCGAGCCUUGCACGAUCAGCGCUGUAGUCUCCGAGGGCCUUGCAGGCGAGCCUUGCGUUGGCGAGGUACCGCCAGCGCCAACCACAUACACGAACACACACACAAGGGGUUUCAACUCACACACACACACACAUACACACACACAUCCGUCCCACACGUGCCCUUCCAAAUAGGUUACGGCGCCCGCCCGCCCACCCGCCCCCCACCCGCCUCACCGCUGCAUGCCCUUGACGUUCCCGGCCUGGCUGUCGGGCGACAGGAAGAACUUGAUCCGCAGCACCUGCUGCCCCUCGUGCGCCUCACAGAAGCCCAGGGCGUGCAGGCUGGUGUUCACGUUCUCGGCCUAAGGCAGGGGCGCAGUGGGGAGCGGUGGGAAAGCCGUCAGCGGCAGGCGCUUCAUAACAAGGACACACACACAUUCGAUGCGCGCACGAACACACAGUCACACAGACACACAGACAGACACACCAUGUGCACACACCUGCUACAGGAACGUGCACACACCAGCGAACACCGGCACGCGCGCCGACCCGUACCUCGGGGUUCUCCUUGCAGAUGAGCACCAGGUCGUUGUCCGUGUACAGGUCAGUCACACCCGACUGCGGUCAGGGGGUUCCAGGGUGGGGUGGAGAGUGAGGCGGGCAGGGCAGGUAAGAUGUUCUGUGGAGGUGGCGCUGGUGGCAGCCCCGCCCGACCAAGGCGAUUCCAUCCAGCGAAAUGCCCAUGCCGAUGUGCUGCUCAAGGCUGCCAUGCGGUACGCCGCACUCGGUGAUGCAGCUCCGCACAACCUCGCGCAAACAUCCGCGCCCAUCACCAACGUAACCACACACGCACACACCUGCAUCACCAGCCUCGUUACAAGGAAGUCUUCUCGCUGUGGGGGCACGGUGUCACGGGCCAGGGGCACAGGGAGCGAGUUAAGACUCAGGACUCCCGACGUGCCGCGAGCCCAGCCCUCCCCACCAUGUGUUCCCCCCUCUUCUCCCCUCUCUCCCCAACACAUCACCCAUCUUCUCCCCUCUCUCCCCAGCACAAUCCCAGCCCUGAUCCCUUUCCUCCCUGCCCCCCUGCUGCCCCCACUGCCCGCCUCCCUCUCCCUGCUGCCCACCUCCCUCUCCCUGCUGCCCCCAUGCCGCCCGCUCUCCCUUCCGCCUCGCUGCCCUCACGUGUUCCGAGUUGGCCACCACCGUGGGGUGCGGCGUCAUCACCUCGCCCUCCUCCACGCCGCGCAUGAUCUGCGCGCAGCACUCCUCCAGCAGCAACGGCUCCAUCACCGACACGUACUCCUGCGGGGGGGGUACAUUAAUGAGUAGUUAAGGAAGUGGGGGGCGGGCCACGGCGCCGCCAGUGAGGGGGAAAGACAGUAUCGAUUGAGACGUAGUAAAGUGGUGCGGUGCGGCGCAGUGCGGUGCUAAGGUAGCGUGGCUAGAAGCGCAAGGCUGGGGGCGCGUGGCUUGGGACUGAGGGAUCGUGCGGACGUCAGGGGCCCAGGCGCUGACAGGCCUGGCACCCGCCAGCGGCACAGGGGUCCCACACCAUUUCCCUGCUGUCACCUCUGGGCCCAUAAGAACCAGCAGCUGCCUUGGCCCCCGCUGCAGCCCCAGGCACGCCACACUGCGCACGUGCACACAACCCUCCUCGAACACCCACACGCGCGCCACCGCAUCCCAGCGCCCACCACCCCGCCGCGCCCCCUUGCCCCUGCCUCUCCUCUCCAUGCCACACACCACCCCCAUCGGCCCCCACGACCCCUCCCGCCCCCAUCCCUCCCCCACCAUCCCGGCCUCCCCCCUGUGCGCUUCCCCCCUGUACCUUUAUGUUUGCAAAGGUCUGCGGCACGGGCCGCAGCUCCUCGUACACGCCGCCGCCCUCGUCCACCUUGCCCCACAGGUCGAAGUAGUCCCAUGCCAACAGGAUCUUGUGCAGCGCCUGCUGCGAACCCACCGCGUCCACCAUGGGGUGCGGCUGAGGCGCGGCUGAGGUGCUGCGGCAAGGCGGCUAGCCAGCUGCUAGGUAGGCAGCUAGGUGGGCUGCAGGGCUGCUUGAUUUGGGUGCUAGCGGCGCCCCCUCCUAAUGGCCUGCUGGCCCGCUAAGCUACAGUACGGGGCUGCUCCGCCUUCAGCUGCGGGCGCCUGGUUGGGCCCAGCCCCACGGGCCCAGGCGUGGCGUGCGCCCAGAGCGCCCAAGGGCACCGCCCCAGGCCUGCGGAAGCGCCCUGCGCUGAUCACUGCCCUGCUCGCCGCCCAGGCUGGAACCCGCCUGGGGGCUCCUUACAGCUGCGGCUGUACCGCGCUACUGGAGUUGCAGGGGUGGCGCGGCGCCGGGUGCCGUCCGAAACUCAGCCGGCGUGGCACCGAGGCACGCGCCAGCCCUCCUCGCCACCAAUACUUUACAAGUGCUUUCUGAUGGUCAUGUAGAAGCUUCUCGCCCGUCAAGCAGGCUGCGGCCCGGCGGCAGUCUUGCCCGUCUCGGCGGCGCCCGCUCGGAGCCAACCGCAGUGUACUAUACUCCAAUGACAAUUGCUAUUGGCAAGAAUGAAGCUCCGCAAAUGGAAAUGCGACUUGGAUGGGCCUGGUCUGAUUUCAGUCUCCCAAGCUCUUGCAAUCUUGCAUGUGCUGCCCUUACACAGUAUAGACGAGUAUUAAGAUCAAGUCACGAAUCAUAUAAAUUGGUUGCAAAGGCCAGCACUCGUGUCCACUCAGCCUCCUGGUUCCAUAGAUUUCGACUUGGCGCGACAGAUAGCAUCCAGGGCUAGAUAGACCCUAUCAGUCCCGCAAGAAUAUUUUGCAGGCCUUCUGUGAGCAGCAUGCCAAAGCCCCAGGUCCCGUGCAGGGCGAGCGAGGUGGCGCCCCAAUCUUUUGCCCCACCAGCUGAAAUUGCCACCAGAAUGGUCGCCACAGCACCCACAUGCUGCAAUGUAAAUAGUGCUGCAACAAGUCGGCCAGUAGCUGACUUUUCUGCGCGGGCGGUCGCAUGCUUGAAGUAAAGGAUUGCCAGAAUGACGUGCCCUGCACCGAUGCCCCGCAUGAUCAUGUCAUAAUCGGCGAGCGCGACGGCUCCAGAGGCAGUCAUGGCAGCUGUCGCCGAUGGGAAGAGCCCGCGAGGGUUGGUCAGCAAGGUAACCCCCGUCAACCCUUCCAGUAGGCAGUGUGAGUAUUAAAGCACGCGCUUGAUGAGUAGCCGAGCCAUUAUGGCGAAGAAUGCAAUUGAACAGCAAGUAGUUGGAAACUGAGCUGGCGCGCUUCAGGUGUGGCGUCCACUCUUGUGGCGUCCACUCUUAUGCGGGGAAAUGUUAGGGUGUCAUGAAUUGCGCACUAUGUGCAACCGUAAGAGUGCCGUGCAAGUUGGCUGAAUUGCACGCGUGGAAUGACCGCAUCGCGCCAUGACCAUGGGGCCCAUACGGGGCACAGCGGCAGUGGCCCAAUUCGCGGUGAGAGACGCGCAUGGAGCGUGGAGGAGGGGAGCGUUGCACAGGGCAUCGUGCGUGGCCGUACCCCUUCCGGUACGGACGUCGGCCGGUUCACCCACGCUCAGUCCACCACCUUCCCAUCGCCCAGCCCGUCCACGCGGGUACCACUCUGGUCUUUUGCUGUGUCCAAACUUUGACAGCCUGGUAGACCCAACAGGUAUCAUCUGACAAGACCGCCAGCAUACCCACGGC
rnacentral:lncRNA from 1 species